CCGAGGGGGCACCUACUGGAGCAGUGGAACCUUGAAAGAUAGGAGCUUUGAGUUCAUUACUUGGUUGAUGAGCCCUGACACUUUCAAUAACAUCUACAGUUUUAACAGUGUUUCGAAUGCAAACGAGAUUUACUUUAGCUAUUCAGUUCCAGACGGAGUUGUUUCAGAGUGGGUAUUGACCUCGGAAGGGGGACUUUUUGACACUAGUAGACCUGUAUUUGUGCUGGACGAUCUGUGCGACAGGUAUGAAGAAUAUCCAGGGUGUGCAGUGCAAAACCCACCCACUUGUAGGACUAGAAAAGACGGAUUCAUGAAGCAAUCGGUUCUCAUAUCAGGAUCACCAUCAUCAAUAAAAGAAAAUUCGAGCUUGGGCCUUAGUGAUUGUCAGGCUAUAUGCUGGAAUAAUUGUUCUUGUACUGCUUAUAAUAGUAUAUACACUAACGGAACUGGAUGUCGGUUUUGGAGUACAAAAUUUGCACAAGCCCUCAAGGAUGACGCAAAUCAGGAGGAGCUCUAUGUUUUAUCCUCAUCACGAGUUACGGGUAAGAGUCUCUCUGUAUUUUUGCAUUCCUGAAAGUAACCAAAGCAAAAGUAGUUGAUGAAUCCAACAUUUUUAUUGAAUUUACAACCCUAAUAGGUGAUCAAAAAUUCAAAAUACCAUUAGAGGAGCUAUAUCAAGACCAUAAAAGACCCUCUUUCACUCAGUUCUGCUCUAACCACAAAAUUUAUCAACUUCUAUCUAUGCAGGGAGCAGUUGGUGGAUAUGGGUCAUUAUUGCAGGAGUGGUACUUUUGGUCUUGUUACUUACGGGCUCCUUAUACUAUUCAAGGAGAAAAUUCAGAGGUAGUAUUUUAUUGUAACUUUUGUUGAUGAUAGUGAUGCCAUUGUUAAUGGGUUGGAUUGAACUUGUGACUUGUGGUAUAACAGGGGAAAGAGAAAUGGAGGAAGCUGCGCUGCUUGAAUUGGCAACUUCAGACAGCUUUGGUGAUUCAAAAGAUGAUGAACAUGAUGGAAAGAGGGGGGCUCAUGAUCUUAAACUGUUCAGUUUUGAUUCUAUUGUGGCUGCCACAAAUAACUUUUCACCUGAAAAUAAACUUGGAGAGGGUGGUUUUGGCCCGGUUUAUAAGGUAAAUAUUAUUAUUUCAUUAAUCCAUGGCAUGUAAUAGGAAUAGGACAUUCUUUGUUUUAAGUACCCCAAUUAAAGCUUCCUUGUGGAUUGUGGAUUAUUUUUGCAGGGGAAAUUACUUGAGGGGCAAGAAAUAGCAGUGAAGAGACUUUCAAGGGGCUCCAGCCAAGGAUUGGUGGAGUUCAAAAAUGAGAUUAGACUGAUUGUCAAACUCCAACACAUGAAUCUUGUUAGACUUUUGGGUUGCUGCAUCAAGGGAGAAGAAAAGAUGUUAAUCUAUGAGUUCAUGCCCAACAAAAGCUUGGACUUCUUCCUCUUUGGUUUGAAUACUUCCCUUUUUUUCUUCCUUUUAUCUGCAUAACUUUUCCUUAUGUUCUUUUUUUUUGCUUGAAACGAUUCACUAGCUGUGCGUUGUGUUUGCCCAAAUUUUCAGAUCCUGCUAGAAGAAAGAUAUUGGACUGGAAAAGACGUCACAAUAUCAUAGAGGGUAUUGCACAAGGACUUCUUUACUUGCAUAAAUAUUCAAGACUAAGAAUUAUUCAUAGAGAUCUAAAAGCAAGUAACAUCCUACUUGAUCAUGACUUGAACCCCAAAAUUUCUGAUUUUGGCAUGGCCAGAACUUUUGGGCGAAAUGCAUCGGAAGCAAAUACAAAUAGGAUUGUUGGAACAUAGUAAGCAUGACUUUUCUUUAUCUAUCAGCUUUCUUUUUCAGUCUAAUGUACUGAACCUUCAACUGUGGAUGCAGUGGUUACAUGCCACCCGAGUAUGCCAUGGAAGGAAUUUUCUCGGUGAAAUCAGAUGUUUAUAGCUUUGGGGUCCUACUGUUGGAGAUUGUGAGCGGCCGGAAGAACAAAAGCUUUCAUCAUAACCACGGUGCCUUUGCCAUAAACCUGGCAGUAUACGUAAGUCUGCUAUAUCUCAUAUUUGUCUCUACAUUAUUUUCAACAGCACCCGGUGUAUCCUUCCAAAAUUUUCAUACUAACCUAGUAAGUAAAUCAACCCUAAAAUGAACUGGAAACAGGCUUGGGAUCUAUGGAAAGAAGGUACUAGCUUGGAGCUAGUGGAUCCAAUGCUGGAGGAUUCCUACUCAACAACCCAAAUGUUGAGAUGCAUUCAUAUUGCUCUCUUGUGCGUACAGGAGAGAGCAGCAGAUAGGCCUACAAUGUCAGCUGUUAUCUCCAUGCUCACCAACGAAACUGUACCCCUACCAAACCCAAAUCUACCCGCAUUUUCCACCCAUCAUAAAGUGUCAGAGACAGAUUCACACAAAGGCGGGCCAGAGAGCUGUUCUGGAAGUGUAACUAUUUCAGAGACGGAAGGUCGGUAAAGAAGAGAAUUUCAGGGGGUGACAGGGAACCUAGAGAACAGCCGUUUUUGUCCUAACCUAUCAGCAAUUUGUCUAGAUUGAUUUGUAUUGCCACCAUAUAUUUAUUAGAUAUAGAGUCAACUAGGUUUCCCUCAAGGUAAUCUUUUUCAAAGCACAACAGAAGCUGAUUUGGUACCAUUUGAAACAUAGUUUUAACCUAUAGCCUGUGGCCCUAUUUGCCUUUUUUUUUUUUUUUCCGGGAAAUUUAUCUAACCAUACACCACAUACCAAAAUUUUGCCUUUUAGAAACUUUGUUUUUUACUUUUGAAAUUUAGUGGAUUUUGGGGGAAAUAAAUGUCUUUCCAUACACUGUAAUAACAAUGUUGAGACCCUUCCAAAAAUGCCCUCAUGCACUUUGACAGCUCUCCUAGUUGGAUCACCCACUUGGAAAAUUCACGUAAGCAAGGUCCAAGUUAGCUACCUACAACAGUUGAUGACAAGGUUCAUGUACAUGUCAUCAUCCAACUAGACAGUUCACAUGGAUUGAUUUUUUAAAACAUAUUUACCCCCAAAUGUCUUCUUCUCUCUUCAACCAACCCUAACACCAAAAACACAUGUUUUUUCUUCUUCAUUCAUAGGCACAACCCAUCACAAGGCGAAACGAUCCAUAAAAAAAUCUGGUGGCUUCUCAAUUUGCCAUAACCAAUUAACCCCAAACAAACCUCCAAACAAGAUCCCUUAUUUUAUUUCUCCUCCAUCACCAUAAGAAAGACGACAUCAUCAUUUUCCCACCAAACAUCAAUUCGAAAACAAAAGUCCAAGUGUGAAAUGCCUAACAAAGCCUAAGUAGACAAAGAGCCCCUUUCCUUUUUCUCAUUUCAACAUCGACAAAGUCAUUUCUUCCCUUCUUGUACUUCCUCUUUUGCUUUUGCGUUGAAAAAUGAGAAAGAAAGCAAUUGAGAGAAAGAGGGAACAAAGCAAUUAAAUAUUGUAGUUGCAUUUAACUUUUAAAGUAAGGGUUUUUCCAGAUGAUAUAUGUAUUUUAUUAAAUUUUGUAAUAACUAUUUAUUUUGAUUUGUCAUUUUGAUUCUUUGAGAUUUGAAUACUGUUAUAGUUAUGUGAUUUGUGGAAUUUUGUGAUUUAAACUUAAUUACAUUGCAUAUUUGUACAUGUUGAAUGUUCAUUAAUAUUGUAUUCAAUUUUAUAUUUUAAUUUAUUUAGGGUUUAUUUGAAAUGAAAUAUGGUUUAAAAUUUGAUAAAUGAUAGGAAAAUGAGAUGGUGGUAAGUUAUAUUGAUUUUGUUUUAUUUUCUGAAUUGUUGUGUUUGUGUUGUACAUGGUUGUUGGGAAGAAUAUAGAAAAGAGAAGAAAAAUAUGACUAUUGAAUGAGAAGGGAAUACAAUUUGUAUAUGGGAUUCAAGAUGUUUUGUUGUUUAAUGUUGUUUAUAUGGGAUUCCAAAAUGAGUAGGUUGAGUUUUUUUUUAUAGUUGUUAAUUGGUGAAUUUAAUGCAUAGGAAAAGAAUUCAUGUUUAGUCAUAAGUAAAUGAGUAUAAAUUUUAAAAAUGAUUGGGAGUAAAGUUUGAAUAAAUUUCUUCAUAAAAGUUUUGAAUUUGUAAUGAAUGAGGGUUGAAUUGAAAAAGAAAAUAAAACAAAUGUAGUAAAGCAGACAUGAAUUUAUGUUGGAAUUAGGAAAAAUAGUAGUGGAGCCUUAGGUGGAAAUUUGAUGCUCACUGUCACAAAUAUGAAAUUUGUUUUGUUUAUAUGUGUGUAAUGGUCAUAGUAAGUGUCUACCCUUGGAUGAAAGGGUUGACCGUAAUUGAGGUAAUGACAUUUGGAUGGAAUAAUUGUUUUUGUAAGAGGUUGCAGUAAGUAAUUAGUGGUUGACCCAUUUGUUUGGAGGUAGGCCCUUAAUUGUAAACAUUGUUGUGGUCUAAUAUAGGCAAUAAGCAAAAUAAAGGAAGACCCAUUGUUUCAGGGGUUGCCCCGAAAACAGGGCCAUUAGCAUAAUUUAGCUUGAAAAAUUACAAAAACAAUGGUUGGCCCAUGAAUUGAGAGAUUCACUUCCCAACUUAUAUAACAUAACAAAUUACUGCCAAAUGAAAUAGAAUAAUUGCAUUGUUUAAUGUUAAGUAUACGCUAUGCAUGUUCAUAUUUACAACAUUAAUUGAAGACCAUGAAAUGUAAAUGAAGCUCACUUGUAAAGUUCCAAAGAUAAACGAUGUAUUAGUAAUUUGGUCAUAAGUGUGAUAAUCAGUUUUGUUAUAAGUAAUUUGGUUUAAGCAGUGUUAUUAAAAAAUUAGUUAAUUGUUUCAGCUUGACUAAAGGUUCAUGUUUCUAACACAUGAUCGAGUAUCAUUUAAAUGGAUCCAAGUAAUACAAUUUAUUAUUAUCUGCACAUUGAAAGAGAGCUAGUAAGGGGUGAACAUGGCAGUAUGGAAUAUAUGGGUGGGAGACGAGAGAGUAUAAGUUUAGAAUGAUCAAUGACAUAUAAUGAUUUUGUUUCAAGGAUUUGUGGGAAAAUGAGCAUUGAUAUAGUGGGACCAACAUUUUCAUACACUCUUCCAUUUGAUCUAUAUGCACUUCAACCAUUGAAAAAUGAUGAAGACUUGACAAACAUGUUUCAAUUUAGUGACUAAUUCACACGUGUAUAUAUAUGUUUAGCAUCAAUAGUUAAAGGCGAUGAAACGGUUGACAAUGAAGGACAAAGGUAAGUUUAUCAAAAGAAUAUCUAAUCUUAAAUGAUUUCGUGUAUUUAUUUAUUUAUUAAUAUUUAUGUUUAUUCAUUAGAUGAUAAGUUGAUAAAUAAAUAUAUUUAUAAUGCAAAUUGAACGAAACAAUGGUAAGGUCAAACUCACUGGUCCCAUAUUCAACAUGGGAUGUUGAUAUUAAUUAGAAUGCAAUCACGAGGAUUUUAUCAAAGAUGUGUUGAAUCACAUGUUGGUCCACUAGAGUCGAGUUAUUUUGAGAGUGCAAUAUUGGGUAGUGGGCAUACCUUUUCAACUGCAAAUGACUUUUGAGAUGCAAUAUAUCUCAUGUCAAUAGGAAACCAUUUUAGAUAUAAGUUUAGGAGGAAUUGCCUUAAGCAUAUGACUGUAAUAUGUGUUAUUGAAGGAUGCCCUUGGAAAGUAACUACUUGUGUUGUUGGGAGAACAAAAAUAGUUCAGGUGCAUACAUUUAUAAAUGAACUUAACCAUUCUUUAGAAGAUGUGUCAGUUUCUAAACCAAUAGUUCGUUGUAAUCGAGCCACAACUAUGAUUGAUAAUGUUAUUCAUUCAAAUCCAAAUUACUUGUCUCGUCAAAUAUGUAAAGACUUUCAUCGACAAUACAAAAUGCAAUUGAAUUAUUGUCAAGCAUGGAACUUGAAAGAGAAGGCUAAAGAACAAAAUCAUGGUGUGCCCCAAUGUUCAUAUAAGUUGUUGCCUUGGUUGUGUACAAGGCUUAUUGAAACAAAUCCAGGGACGAUUGCUGAAUAUAAAUGUUCGGAUGAUGGUCAUUUCAUGCAAUUGUUUGUUGCCCUUUCAGUGUCAUUACAUGGGUUUAAAAUGGGGUGUCGGCCUAUUAUAUCAACAGAUUCAUCCCACAUGAGUGAGUCAUACAAGGGUGCUUUAUUUUUAGCUUCUUCGUAUGAUGCUAACAAUGUCAUGUUUCCACUUGCUUAUUGCUUAUUUAGCUUCGAGAAUUACGAGGAUUGGCUUUGGUUCUUAGAGAAAUUGAAGAUGGUCAUAGGUGAAACAAAGGUUAUAAUAAUAUCUAAUAGGCACGAAGGAAUUAUCCGUAGUGUUUUAGAUGUAUUCAGCAGUGAAAAUCAUGCACAUUGCUAUCAUCACAUUAAAGAAAACUUUAGUAGCUUACUAACAAAGUUGAACACUAAAUGGAGGAAAAUAAAGGAAAAUGCUUUGCAAAUGCUCGAUUCUAUCACCUAUGCUAGGUUAGAUUGUGAUUAUGAGGUUACAAUGGAUACUUUAAGGACAUUUAAUCAUGAUUUGGCAAAGUGGGUUGAAAAAAAUAACCCUCAACAUUGGGCAAUCUCUAAAUUUAAGAUGCGUUGGGAUAAGAUGACAAAUAAUCUAGCUAAGUCUUUCAAUUCUUGGUUAAGACAUGAAUGACACCAUAACAUUUGUGUUUUCUUCAUUGAGCAUAUGGAUAAGUUAGGAUCUCUUUUAGUCGAGCACAAAAAUGGACUUGCAAAAUGGAAUGGGUGCAUUAGUCCUAAAAUAGAAGAAAAUAUUGCAUUGAACAUUGCAAAAGGUGAAAAUUAUAUCACUUAUUUACACUUGGGUAGUUCGAUGAAAGUAUCCAAUGGAAAAGUAUUCUUGGAAAUGGACUUAAUGAAGUGAACUUGCACAUACAAAGCAUGGCAAAUGUCUGGAAUCCCAUGUGAUCAUGCUUGUGUAACAAUAUGAAGAAUGGGGUUCGAUGUAUCUGAUUAUGUUGAUGACUGGUAUAAGUACAAUUUGCAAGAGAAUAUAUACUCUGGAAGCAUGUGUACUUUGGUAACGCAUGACAUGCCAAUGAUUGAUGAAGAUGGAACCGUUCGUGAUGCCUUGGGUCAUACUUAUCCUUUUCUUAAUCUUUCAACCACAAAGCAACCUCCUGGAAGACCUAAGAAACAUCAAAUUAAGUCUCAAUUCAUGUAAAAAAAAAAAAAAACGGUUCAUUGUUCUUGUUGUAAUGAGCCUAGGCAUAAUUGUGCUACAUGCAACAACCCAUUGUCGUAACUAUUUAAUUAAACUUCAUAAUGUAACAUCGACUUUAUAUUAGUAUGUAAUAAUUUGGUAAUCUUCAUCGUUGUUUCCCUGAUUAUAAGCAAUGACUAAUUUAUUGGAUUUGUAGUGUUUGGUGUACACAUAUUGUGAUUAUAUGUUGUUCUUCAAUAUUAUGGGAUAUGUUACAUGAUAAUAAAAUUGCAAUAACAAAAUGUGUACCUUGGUGAUGAUUGUUCAAAGAUGUCAUUAAAGUCACAUAAAUUCACAUGGAAAAACAAAUUGUUAACUAGUGGGCAUAAUCGUGGAUGACCUUUACAUGUAUGGGUUGUCAUUUUUUGGCUGAUGACCCUUAAUCAUAUUAUUUAGUUUUGUGGGAAGUGGUCAGUAACCAAAAUAAGGGCCAACCUAUUAGGUCAUAAGCAGUCCUAUCGUUUUUCUUAUUUAAAAUUGGUUUUGUGUUAUGUGAGGAGUCGGUAAAAGGGAGGUUGACCCAUUGACACCAUGGGAAGGCAUUCGAACGUUUACACUAUACAGUUAGAAUUAAUGGAAUUUCUUUUAUACAAUAACAUUAGUUUGGUAUGUUAUGUGUAGAAGUUGAUCUAAGGGCGCACCCUCCAUUUCAAAGGCAUGCCUAUGUGUGAAUGACAUUAUAUUACCAUGUUAUAUGCAGAAGGCAAAGUAGGGGCACACCCUUCGUUGCAUAGGCAUGGGCAUGGGUAUGAUAACAUUAUUUUGGUAUGUUAUGUGUUGUACACAAACUAGGAGUACACCAUUGAUUUUAGAGGCAUGCCUAUUGGUGAAACCAUUAUAUUGGUAGGCUAUGUCCAGUAGUCAACCUAAGGGCACAACCUUCAUGGAAGAUGCAUGAAUGUGGGUGAAAAACUUGAUUUUUUUAAGCUAUGUGCAAUAGGAAAAAUAUAGGCAUGACUCUAUCGGAGGCAUUCCUUCAAGAUGACUAGAUUUAAGGUGUGUGUUGGGUAGUAAGGCAAAUAGAGGCAUGUCGAUAGUUUGAAAGGUUGACCCUUGACGUUCAUAUGAAAUAAGCAACCACCAAAGGAAUAAAUGAACAAAAGUUAUGCAUUAUCAAAUGUUUGGUAAAGACCAUAUGUUCUAAUGUUUAGCAUAGUAAUGUCAUACCAUCUAGUGUUAAUGAAGUUUAGUUGUAUUGUUUAUAAUCUAAGCAAGGCAUUAAUCAUAAUGACAAUAGGUGUGAAUGUGACAAUUGUUAUAGUUAAUUAAUUUUGGCAUGGUUAGUUACAAAUACUAUUGUAAGCAAUUAAAUACCUAAUGGGGUCCAAAAAAGGGAUUAAAAUAUUUUAUGCUUAUUUUAUAAAUGAUGUAAUUCUUUUUGGAAGGAAUAUAUGUAUUAUUGCACAUAUUAACGUACACACACGCACGUGCGCGCGCGCGCACACACACACACACACACACACACACACACACAUAUAUAUAGAUGUAUUAAAGUAAGAAGGCAUGAGGUCUCAGAUUGAUGUUAAAAAAAUGUACAAUACUUUAUUAAAGUUAAUAAAGAACAGAUUGAUCUUAAAGAUAUAUGAAACAUUGUGGAUGAUAUUACGAGGGUUUGAAACUCUGUUAAAUGGUGGUGAACGACUUCCCAUCAGUUCCUAUGGGUUCUCGGUAGCAUGAGGCCUUGAAAUACCAAAAUUUCUUACAAAUGUACCAAAUUUUAUAAAAUAAAAAAAAAUGUACCAAAAGUUGUAAAUGAUGUAGCAAAAUUUGUCAAGGAUGUACCAAGGGUUUAAAAGUCUGUUCAAGAGUAGCGAACGACCUUUCAUCAAUUAACACAGAUCCUUAAAUGAAAUAAUGGAUCAUAGGUGAUAAGAUGGGUGUUUCAAUGGCAAUAGGAUUAAAUGUACCAAAUUUUAUAAGGGGUCUCGACAACAAUAGGAUCGGAUGUACCAAAUUUUAUGAAGAAUGUAUCAAAUUUUGUGAAGAAUGUACCAAGGGUUCCAACGUGCAUUCAGAUAUGAGGAACAACCCCCAAGCACUUCCUUAUAGGUUCUCAAAUGAAAUUAUGGACCUUAAGUGAUAAGAUGGGGGUCCUAGAAGUAAUAUGAUGAGAUAUACCCAUAUUUUAUAAAAGAUGUACCAAAUUUUAUGAAGAAUGUAACAAGGGUUCCGAAGUGCACUCAGAGGUGGGGAUCGACCCCCAAUCACAUCUUUAUGGAUUCCCAAAUGAAAUUGUGAACCAUCUAUGUCCAAAUGGGAGUCUUGAAAGCAAUAGGAUUGGAUGUACCAAAUUUUGUGAAGCAUGUACCAGAUUUUAUGAAAGAUGUACCAAGGGUUCCAAAGUGCAUUUCGAGGUGGGGAUCGACCACCAAUCACUUCCUUAUGGGUUCCCAAAUGAAAUUAUAGACCCUAGGUGAUAAGAUGGGGGUCCUGAAAGAAAUAGGAUGAGAUGUACCAAAUUUUGUGAAGAAUGUAUCAAGGGUUCCAAAGUGCGUUUUGAGGUGGGGAUCGACCCCCAAUCACUUUCUUAUUGGUUCCAAAAUGAAAUUAUGGACCAUGAGUUAUAAAAUGGGAGUCUCGACAACAAUAGGAUCGGAUGUACCAAAUUUUGUGAAGGAUGUACCAAAUUUUCCAAAGCAUGUUUCGAGGUGGGGAUCAGCCACGAAUCACUUCCUUAUGGGUUUCCAAAUGAAAUUAUGGACCCUAGGUGAUAAGAUGGGGGUCCCGAAAGCAAUAGGAUGGGAUAUACCAAAUUUUACAAAGGAUGUACCAAUUUUUUUUUAAGGAUGUACCAUAUUUUAUGAAGGAUGUACCAAGGGUUCCAAGGUGCUUUCUUAGGUGGGGAUUGACCCCCAAUCACUUUCUUAUGGGUUUCAAAAUGAAAUUAUGGACCAUAAGUGAUAAGAUAGGGGUCCCAACAAUAAUAAGAUCGAAUGUACCUUAGAUUUUUUUAACCGUGUUUCUUAGUAACUUGAUGAAAGUUAUGUACAUUUUUUAACGUUAAUCUGAGACCUCAUGGCCUCUUACUUUAAUCUAUCUAUUCUUUUGAGAAAUUGACAUACAUCUAUUGUUUUACACACACACACACACACACACACACACAUAUUCCUUACAAAAAGAUGCACUUCAUUUAUAUAAUAAGCAUAAAUUAUUUUAAUCCCUUAUGCCGACCUCAUUAGGUAUUUAAUUGCUUACAUAAAUAUUUGUAAUUAACCCUACCAAAACUAAUUACCUAUAACAAUAGUCUUAUUCACACCUAUAACCAUCAGAUAUUAAUGCCUCAUGUAAAUUAUGAACAAUUCAACUCAACUUCAAUAACACUUGAUGUUAUGACAUUAAUGUGAUAAAUAUUAGAACAUAUGGUCUCUACCAAACAUCAGAUAAUGCAUUACUUUUAUUUAUUUAUUUAUAUGGUGGCCACUUAUUUGAUAUGAUCGUCAAGGGCCAACCUUUCUAGCUUUGGGCAUGUCUCCAUUUGUCUUACUGCCCAACCCGCAUAUCAAAUAUAAUCACUUUAAAGGCAUGCCAUAGACAUAAGAGGCAUGCUUAUCUUUUCUACUGCACAUAGCAUAACAAAUUUAAGUUUUCACCCACAUUCAUGCAUCUUGCAUGAGGAGUGCGCCCCUAGUUUGACUAUUGCACUUAGCCUACCAAUAUAAUGUCUUCACCAAUAAGCAUGCCUCUUAAAUAAAUGGUGCACCCCUAGUUUGUGUAUUGUAUAUAGCAUACCAAAAUAAUGUUAUCAUACCCAUGGCAUGCCUUUGCAACAAAGGGUGUGCCCCUAGUUUGCCUUUUGCAUAUAGCAUACCAGUAUAAUGCCUUUGCACAUAGGCAUGCCUUUGAAAUAAAGGGUGUGCCCUUAGAUUGACUUCUAAAUAUACCAUAGUAAACUAAUGUUAUUAUUAUUUUUAAAACAAAUUCCAUUGCUUCUAAGGGUACAAUGUCCACGUUCGAAUGCCUUCCUAUCAGGGAUUGAAAAAUCGGAAAAUAUCGUCGAUAUUUCGAAGAAAUAUUGAAUAUCGGUCGUCACCGAAACGAUAAUCGCCACCGAUUAUCGAUCCACGGAAAUAUCGCCAAAAAAUCGGCAAAAUCGCCGAUAUAUCGACGAAAUAUCGAUGAAGGACCGAUAAAUCGGAGAAAAAGGAUCUGACACACGGAGCAACCGGAGGUAUUUUUACCGAUUUUUCCGAAAAUUUCCCGAUAUUUCCUACUAGUCCAGCCCGCGCAGUUGUGUUUUUCAGCCUGGCUCAAAAAUCAUGGAUUUAGGGUUCGUGAAAUUUAAAUCCAAUGGCACAACAGCAAAGAGACCCCUAAAACAGAUCCAGAAAACACAAGAAGCAAAAGAAAAGCAAUUUUUUUUUGUUUUCUUUGGGGGUUUUGAAUGGAUUUUCUCGGAAAUCAAACAAGGAUGAAUUUUCCCGGAAAUCGAAUGGGGGUGGAUUUUCUUGGGAAUCAAACUGGGGUUGCAAAAAAAAAUAAUAAUAACAUGAUUAGAUUAGUACCUGCGAGGAUUGAGAUUUGAGAGUAGCAGAGGAAAAUAGGGCUUUUUUUUAGGGUUUCUCUCGUUGGAGGACAACUUCAGAAAAGGGUUCUUGAUGCCCCGUGCCCGAGAGAGAAGUGGGUGCCUUUUUUAUUUUUUUAUUUUUAGAUUUAGUGGAGAUAAAAAAAUAAAAAAUAAAAAAUAAAAAAAUCAUGAGAACAAUUUUCCACUCUCUAUAUAAAUAAUUAUUAAUUAUCAACCUUUAUUUUGAUUAUUAAAUAAAUUAAUAUUAAUAGAAAAAAUUGUUACACAUAUUUUUAAUAAAAUUUUAAAAAUUAAAUCUCAAAUAAGAUAUUUUAUAUAAAUUAAUUUAAUUUUUUAUUUAAAAUAUAAUAAAAUAUAUUUUAAUAAAAGUAUUUUAAAAUUUUUAAAAUAAAUAUUGUCUUCAACAAGAUGAACUCCCUUCAUAUAAUAAUAUAACGAAAUCACAUUGAUAUCUUCCUUAGUAUAAGGACUAUUGCAAUCUCAUAUGUAUUAUAUUUAUAUAUAAAUUGUUUUUAUUUAAUAAAAUUAAAUAUUUCUUAACUCAAUUUUAACUUUAUACACUUUCAAAAUUCAUAUAUAUUAUUUUUAAAAUUCAAAUAUCGAAUCUACCAAUAUAUCUCUGUUUACGAUAUUUUUCUUCUUAAUUAUAUAUAUAUAUAUAUAUAUCAAUUACACUUAUAAGAUAACUUUAAAAUGUGUAUUCUUACUUAUUUUAUCAUUUUUUGAAGUUUUUUAAAGCAUUCCUAUUAAUUUUAAAUAAUUUUCACUCCACCGAUAUUUAUGAAAAAAUAUCCACCGAUAUUUCCGAUAUAUCCGUAAAAUUGAAGUACCGAUAUAUUCGUAAAAACCGAUAUUUCAAUCCUUGCUUCCUAUUAAACAAUAAGUCAACCUUCCUUUUACCAACUACCCACAUAACACAAAACUAAAGGGUCGACCCUUAUUUUUGCUACUAACCACUUCAAACAAAACUAAUAAUAUGAUCAAGGGUUAUCAACCAUAAAAUAGCAACCCCGCAUGUAUAGGUUAGUCACUAUUAUGCCCACUGGUUAAUAAUCUUUUGUCUUUUAUUUUUAUUUUUUCCGAAAAGCUCUUGGGUGAAGUUUUUCACUUGAUUCCAACUAUUGUGCUAGUGUAUUUGUUUUCUAAAGAUCCCAAGUGUAGCAACCAGUGCUUCAUUGGUCACUUCUCUUAAGUUCUUCAAUUAGCUUACUCUUUUCCUUUAUAGUAGCCUUAAGUGCUUCAAGGCUAACACCCUCGAUUUCAUGGACAUAGUUUGCCUCCACCUUUGCAGUUCAUUUACUUAAAAACGUCAUAACAAUGAACCUCUUGUUGAAUCCUUCAGCAUCAGUGGUUGUGAUAAUGGACACUUGUAUAUAAAUGAAUCCAUUGUUUUGGAAGAAGGCGUGAGUUGCAUGAGUAAAGGCAUUGCGGGUUCGCAUAAUGAAUGCCACCUACAAGUUUUAAAGUAGAAAUUAAAACAAAAUGACCUAAUUAAUUUUUAGUCAAAGCAUUUAUCAUGGAUUUAGAUAAGAAGCUGCAUGGAACAAAAAGAUUAAUUAUGGUUGUUGCUUAUGGCUAUGUCAUUGACAGUUAAGAAGGUAUGCCCACUACCCAAUAUUGCACUCUCAAAAUGACUCGACUCUAGUAGACCAACAUAUGAUUCAACACAUCUUUGAUAAAAUUCUUGUGAUUGCAAUCUAAUAUCAUCAUCCUUUGUUAAAUAUGAGACUAUUAAGUUAGACCAAACAAUUGUUUUGUUCAAUUUGCAUUAUAAAUAUGUUUAUUUAUCAACUUAUCAUAUAAUGAAUGAACUUUUUUUCCUCAAUGAUUUUCAAUUCUAAAGAGCUUCCAUUUUUGUUAUAAAAAAAUUACUAAUUUAACAUUUCCUAAAAAUGAUCCAUUUCCAUAUUGAAAACAAUUUUUCGAUCAGGUUUCCCAACCCCCUAACCAAACAUAUUUUCAGUGUCAUUUCCAUUUAUUUUCUUAAACAACCAUUUGCCAAACACCCCUAUAAUUUUGGAUCCUAUAAGCCUAAAGCCCUACAAAUCAAAACCCACCAAGGUCACACUCUCCAAUACAAUUCCUCAUUUCACCAAGUGAAAAAUCAACCCAAUUCAAUACCCACCAUCUAGAUCAACCCAAUUAACACUUCAAAAACAUUAAAAAAAUCAAGCCAAACCCAAAAAAUGCUCAUUAAUCACACCACAACCCAAAAAAUCAAAUAAAACCCUCAUCAAAUCCUAUACUAACUUUGCACCAAGAAAACAAAACCACACGAAACACGAAACCCUAGUACAAGAUUAACUAAUUCAAUCAAAUUCACAUCCAACAGUUCACAAACAUGGCCAAAAACUAAAAUUCACAAGCCAAAUAAUUGCGAGUCGGACCUGAAAAUCAAGAACUGUACUUGUAACUUGACUUGUCUGAAAAUCUCAACUUUGAAGCCACCCAAAGUGCGCGAGAUAAGCAAAAUGGGUGCACAGUGAUUCAUGCCCAAUUGGUGUCUCAGCUGAUUCGUGUCCAGCUGGUGCUCCUUGAUUGAGGGAGUAAUCAACAAAAUUUAUAACCUAUUACACCAUAUACUAGGGUAGCAAAGACAAAGCUACUAUAGCAUAGUGGCUCUAGGAUCGUUCACUGGGAUGGGUUUUCACUUUGCAAAUGAUAUUAAUUCAAAGCUGAAUUGGUGCCUUUUCAUUUCAAGGUUAGCUUUAAAAGAAAACAUAAAGAUGUUUGAAUGAAAAAGGUUUGGUUUUAAACUAACCAAAAAUAGUAACUGAUUUUACUUACAAAGAAAAGUGUUUCUUGGAGUUCAGAUCACUAGGCUCAGGUUCCUCAUACAAAAAGGAGAGUUCCGAUCACUUGUUUCUUUUCCUCGCAUUAGAGAAUUAACAUAUAGUUAAUUCUCUAACCGGUGUUGUACAGAUGCUUCCCAUUAAUGGGUUCAAACACUAAAUCCCUCUCACUGAUGCACUUUGCAAUGGUUCAUGCCUCUCACUAGCACUUACGAUUCAAGGUGAUCUUUAACCUUGGAUUACCCAUCAAAAGCUCGCAAGAGAUAACUAAUGGAUGUCUCCUUGGAGUCCAAAAGCUUACCAAGUGUUGGCUAUUCUAGAAAAUCCUACCUUCAAGUCACCUCCCAAAGGCUCGCAAGAGAUAAACUAGUGAAUCUCCAUGGACGGAGAUCACUUGCCUUACCAAGUGUUGGCUCAAGUGAAUUAAAGGCGUUUUAAGUUAACUAAAAAGAUAAAAACCAUUAACGGGUCACACUUUCUCUUCAUUAAAAACUAAAACAACAAAACUUCCAAAUUAUGCAUGUGGAAACUUACCCGGCUUUCCUCACUCCAAGAGACAAAGAGCCUAGCCUCUCAUCCUCUGAGGAAAAAUCCUCAGAGUUUGUUUGGCUAGCAAGAAAACUAACGAGAAAACAAGAAUAUAUAUGAAAAACAGAGCAAGUGCUCUGUUCGUUGAUUCUAUAUAUGAUAUCUCUAUAUAUCUUUCUAUAUCUAUUACAGUGGAUGCAAGGGAAUAUAUAUAUAUAGAUGUUUUUCCAACCUUCCUAGCUAAGAAAUCUUAUGGUUGGUGGAUUACAAGGAGAAGAAUGGAAAUUUAUACAAAAAUAUCUGAAGAAAAGAUCUAAAAGAUUCGGUGCACAAAUAUCGGGAAGCAUUAAGGACCAUUUCGCAGGUGAAAACGAGGUCUGCGAGAUUUCGCAGAUGCACACAAAGGGCUACGAAAUUACUUCGCAGCAAACGGCUGACUUCGCAACGCUGCGAAGUGUUCUUUCAGCUUGUGGUGUUCAGCUUCCAACGUGAUGGGAAACUUCAAGGGGAAUUCCACAGCAUUGUGCAAAAAGGCUGCGAAAUCAUCUCUCAACAAAAGGGUGAUUUCGCAGCGCUGUGCAAAAUUCUUCCUUCAACUUGGAGUGAUCUGCUUGAAAUGGUUGUAAAUCCUUCGUUUCAACUUCGAAUCGUGCACCGUUUGAAGCAUUGGAUUGUUGACUUCAUGAGCUUUGAAAUGGUAUAUAGAAUGUAGAAAAUAGACUUCGGGAAGUGCUCCAAAAGUACGAAAGAAGACUGCAGCUGUUGUCCUCUGUUUUCUCCACUUUGUUUUUCCUCUCUCCUUUGUUCUUUCCUUGCAUACUUUGAACGACUUUGGCAAAGGGCUAUGGAGCUCCAAAGCUGGUUCUUCAUGAAUUUGAGCUUUCCAUUGCUUUGCCAUGGAUUCCAAAUAACUCUCCUCAAUCUUGGAUUGCUUUGGUGAUCAAAAAGCUAUCAAAACACCAAAACUUAACACAAUUUGAUUAGAAUUGAUUGCAAGGGUCCUUAACAUGUUAAUUGGGUUAAAAGGCAAUAACUACUACUCAAAAGUGUUUAAAAGAAUUAAUUACAAGCUAUCAAAUAGCACUUUUUGAGUAGUAAUCACAUAGGAUUUUAGAAGUAGACUCCCUUUAUGAGUUUUUUGAGUUAGGGUUUGAUUGAAGAGAGAAGAAGGCUAAAUCUCACUAUCUGUUUCGUUAUUUUUUGGGAAAUAUUUUUUUUUAAAUCAUUCCACGUGGAUUGUCUAGUUGGAUGGUGGCAUAGACAUGAGCCAUAUCAUUAGCUUAAGUGGGUAACUUACUUUGACUGUGCUCACAUGGCUUUUCCAAGUAGUUGAUCCAAUUGGAAGAGGUGUUAAAGUGUAGGAGGGCAUUUUUUAAAGGAUCUCAACAUCACUAUUACAGUGUAUGGAAAGGUAUUUAUUUUCCCUAAAAUCCACUAACCUUCAAAAGUAAAAAGUAAAAUUCCCAAAAAGCAAAUUUUUGCCCCCUAAUGUAUGGCUACAUAAAUUUCUUUUUUUUUUUUUUUUCCUCCAUAACGUAUUAUAAUAGAUUGUACAUGUUUAUCUUAGCCAUGGUAUGAUAAAAAAUAUGUUAUAUGCUACACAUAGAGAAAAACACUCCAAACGACCAAAGUAGAAAGUGGAGAUAGUUUAUGACUGAUCCUCACUCAAUUUGCACAUAACACCACUAGUUAACCAAACUUCAGCCUCCAUGCUUCAAGUAAUCCAUAGCCAAGUUCUUCUCAAGAGACAUAGGUCAUUUAUGGAGACAUAGGUCUUCAAAUCUGAUGAUGGGAAAUGUCCACCUCCUCCUAAAGUGCAAGAUUUUACCAUGGUUUUAAAAACCAAACCAGACAGGCCGGUCCAACUACCAACCAGUCACGGUUCCAAUUCGGUCUGGUCAAUUAGGUCAAAAAGUGGUCGGAUCGAAAUUGGACCGAUUAAACCAGUGGUCCGAUCGGGAAUUGUUCGGUUCAAUUUUAUUUUUCCACUGUCAUCAUUUCCCAUCGACGAGACCCCUACCCUCCUUGCAAAGCCAUUCCCACGCUGGAAAAGCUUUUAUUGCCCACUGGAACACCCCCGCCCCCUCCUCCUCGUUGGAACCCCUUUUUGUUUAUCGAAAUCCCUCCCACCCGAUACUGGAAACUCUAUCCCCCAAAACCCAUUGGAACCCUUUUUUGCCCACUCAUCUCUUCUCUUUUUCCAGAUUUUUUUAUUAGUAUUAUUUUUUACUUCAUCUCAUUAUUAUUAUUUUUCUUUUGUAUUAAUUAUUUUUUUAUUUCAUGAUGUUUAAAACUUAUGAUUUUAAUUUAAAUUAAUGAAAACAUUACAAUUUUAAAUAAAUUCCUAAUUUAAAAAUAAUUUUUUUAUUUAAAAAUGAAUUUUAAAUUUCUAAUUUGAAACUAAUUUUCUGAUUUUCAAAUAAAAUUUUAAUUUUUAAAUAAUAUAUUGUGGACACUGCAUUUCGGCUCAAUGCAUUUCCCACUCGAUGGUGAGCUCGAUUUUUUAUUUGAAAAUUUGAUUCUUAUUUGAUUAAGAAAACUGACUUGGAGUCGCCACUUAUUUUUUGUUUUAUUUUAAAAGGGUAAACAAAAUAAGAAAGAAAACCCUAAGUGUGACUCCUUGUUUUGGAAAAGGUGGUCUGUGAAAAAUCGGAGCGGGCUCGGAGGUCAGAUUGCUUAUUGGGAAGGUACGGUACAGACCGUAGCACCCCUCUAAUAGUCGGGUCUCUACUAAUAGAAUGAAACUGACGUGACAAUCAAUGAGAAAAUCAAGGGACACUCACCUAAAUCAUGCAGAAUAUGGGAAUCAAAACACACAAUAGAGAUUGACUAGAAUGGGAGUGGAUGCGUACCUCGGCCACGAGCCACAAUGCGCUAUUAAGAAACGGGAUUAGUGCACAAUUAAUGAAUACAAAAUAUAGCUCAUGCAUAUCGGAGUGUAAACGAAACUCAAGCGAAAUACAUUAAGCACGACAAUUUACAAUCAAAAGGGAUCAAACAUAGGGCCCCCACCAAAGCCCAAUUUUUCAUUCAUGAACUAGUCUCACAAAUCCCGUGUUUUAGAAUUAUGAAGAAUUCAUUAUUGCUUACGUAAAAUCAAGAAGAUCAUAAGAUUAUUCAGGAACCAAAAUGGGAUUAAAACUAUUCGACUGAAGACUGGAUUCUUGGAGUUUAUUUGAAAAUUGGAGUAUUUGGAAUUAAAUUUAAAAGAUUAGAGCUCCGGUAAUUAAAUUGAAAUUUGUUAAAUAAGAUGAGAAAUGAACUUUAGGAAAUUGAUCUACGAAAAUAUGGAUUUUGAAAGUUGAAUUUGUAAUAAUAGUAAUAAUAAGAAAUGAACUUUAAGAAAUUGGACUGCGAGAAUAUAGAUUUUAAAAGUUGAAUUAAUAAUAAUAAUAAUGAUAAGAAAUGAACUUUAAGAAAUUAAACUACGAGAAUAUAUAUUUUGAAAGUUGAAUUAAUAAUAAUAGUAAUAAUAAUAAUAAUGAUAAUAAUAGUAAUAAUAAUAAUAAUAAUAAUAAUAAUAAUGAUAAUAAUAAUAAUAAGAUUUUGAAAGUUGAAUUAAUAAUAAUAAUGAUAUUAAUAAUAAUAAUAAGAUUUUGAAAGUUGAAUUAAUAAUAAUAAUAAUAAUAAUAAUAAUAAGAUUUUGAAAGUUGAAUUAAUAAUAAUAAUGAUAAUAAGAAUAAUAAUAAUAAUAAUAAUAAUAAUAAGAUUUUGAAAGUUGAAUUAACAAUAAUAAUAAUAAUAAUAAUAAGAUUUUGAAAGUUGAAUUAAUAAUAAUAAUGAUAUUAAUAGUAAUAAUAAGAUUUUGAAAGUUGAAUCAAUAAUAAUAAUAAUAAUAAUAAUAAUAAUAAUAAGAUUUUGAAAGUUGAAUUAAUAAUAAUAAUAAUAAGAUUUUGCAAGUUAAAUUAAUAAUAAUAAUAAUAAUAAUAAUAAUGAUAAUAAUAAUAAUAAUAAUAAUAAUAAUAAUAAUAAUAAUAAUAAUAAUAAUAAGAUUUGGAAAGUUGAAUUAAUAAUAAUAAUGAUAAUAAUAAUAAUGAUAAUAAGAAUAAUAAUAAUAAGAUUUUGAAAGUGCUUUGGGUUCCAUCCCCAUCAUAAGCCCAAGUCUAUGAACCCAAGUCCAUUCAUUAAAAAAGCUUUGGGCUCCAUCUCCAUCAAGCCCAUGUCCAUUCAUUAAAAGAAGCCCAUGUCCAUUCAUUAAAAGAGCCUUGGCUCCAUCUCUAUCAAGCCCAUGUCCAUUCAUUAAAAGAAGCCCAUGUCCAUUCAUUAAAAGAGCCUUGGGCUCCAUCUCCAUCAAGCCCACGUCCAUUCAUUAAAAGAACCUUGGGCUCCAUCUCCAUCAAGCCCAAGUCAUUAAACUAAAAGGAGCCCAGGUCCAUUCAUUAAAAGAAGCCCAUGUCCAUUCAUUAAAAGAGCCUUGGGCUCCAUCUCCAUCAAGCCCAAGUCAUUAAAUUAAAAGGAGCCCAGGUUCAUAAGCUCAUUAAAUUAAAAGAAGCCCAGCCUGCCUCCAUCUCCAUCAUUCAUUAAAUUAAAAAAAGAGCCCAGGUCCAUAAGCCCAAAUGACCCAAGCCUGCCUUCGAUCUCCAGCAAAGCUGGUUUUCCACUUGGGUGUCAUCUUCAGCCAAGGAGCCUCCACCACCGGCGACGCAAUGGAGAGGGAUGCGACGGCGACGAUGGCGGAGUAGACAACAUUUUGGGUGAGGGCGCUAGUGGCAGUCAGGAUGAUGGUGCAAAUGGUGGACUCGGUGCUUGGAGAGAAAUAAUGGGAAAUAAAGGUGUAAAGAGAGAAAAUAAAUAUCAUGAAUAAUGGGCUUGGCAGGCAAGGUGGGAUAAUAGAUGUGGUGGUGUGAUCAGACAAAAUGGGUUAGAGUUUAGCGGGUAUGAAGACAAGGAUCAUGAAUGGUGGGAUGAGGAGCAAAAGCUAGUGAGAGAAUAUGGGUAUAGGAGGGGUGGACUGGUUUGCAUGCAUUUUUCCAGCAACCUUUGGGCUUGGCAGCUGCUUUAGGUUUAGGCUCGGAAGCUUUGGGCUUAAAAUUCUGGCACAAGCAUAACAAGCUCCAAACCAAAGAGUAAACUAACAAUAACUGAUUGGAAGGAUGAAACUAAAUUCACAAUCACACAACAUGCAUCAUUACAAAGCAGAAACUAGAGACUAAUAAAAAAAGUUGUAUCAAUAUUAACCUUUUAAUGGAAUAAUAAACAACUUACAAGAUGUUUGGGAAGCAAGAAUUAUUGGGUCCUCAUGUCCAGGAAACUGCUUUUUUUUUUUUUUUUGUUGACUGAAAGCAGCCCCCAUUUGUAGAAGAAGGAGAAGCGCAUGACCCCUCGGUGCCCUUUUUUCCUGCCUCAGACAACAACCCCUUUUUCAUCAAAAACCCCCCCUCCGCAAGUCAUGGACCUGCUCCUCUCUUCUCUGCCACCCUUGCUGCCACCAACAACCUCACCUCAAUUUCUUUCCCAUCUCACCCACUCUCAUAAAAAAAAUAAAAAUCCAUACUUUGCCUUGGGGUGCUCAACCAACCGGGGGGGGGGGGGGGGGGGGGNNNNNNNNNNNNNNNNNNNNNNNNNNNNNNNNNNNNNNNNNNNNNNNNNNNNNNNNNNNNNNNNNNNNNNNNNNNNNNNNNNNNNNNNNNNNNNNNNNNNAAAAACCUCACUUAAUUUUUUUCCCUUUUUCACCCCUUUUAAAAAAAAAAAAAAAAACCCCCCCUUUCCCUGGGGGGGCCCCCCCCCCCGGGGGGGGGGGGGGGGGGGGGGUGUAUACAAAUAUGCCCCUCUUCGGUAGAGUUCAUGAGUGUAAGGAAUAUGAGCACUAGAGUGAAAAGAAAGUGUGAAUAGUGAGUGGAAUGAAGUGAACUCUACUGAAGAACAAAGGAGACCCCCAAAAGGACACUAACGAGACAAAAACUCACUUAAACCAACAGAUGAGCAAAAUGGGUUUAACCCUAAGAGAAAAGCAGAUCUCUCAAAAUGCCUCUAAAGCCAAACAGAGGACUCAGGCUCCCUUUAAGACGUCUCCAAAAGUGACUCGAAAGACCAUAUCAAAGAUAAGUAACGGUCGAACCCCUCUGAAGUACAAAAAAGACUACGCCUAAAGGAGACUGCCUUAUGCGAACUUCAUGAGAAUGACUAGUGUAGGGUGUCCAACAACAUGACCGAAGUAAGUGUCGUGAACUCAAAGGUCACCGUGUCAUGAGCAAUGAAAAGGGGAAUUUGGAAGAGUGAUGACAAGUAGGCGAUAAGCACAGGGUAACAUGGUGAGGAAAAUGAGAAUAAAUGCAAACCCAUGAAGGCAAGAUGUGCAAUGCCAAUGAACAUGAAUGCCAGGGACUCUAACUCUGAAUGAUACGAAUGAGGAGAAAUGACUUUGAACGUCAAAACACGAGAAAGAUAAGGACUUAAGGUGCCCGAACGAAUAUGUACAAUGGCUCUGAACGCCAAACUAAAGAGAGAUGGUGGCAUUGAAUGCCUGAACGAGUGUGAAAGAUGGCUCUGAACGCCAAAACUAAGAAAUAUGGACUUUGAGCGUCGAACUGAAAGUGUGACUCGGAACGCCAAACUGAGAUCAUGGCUCCGAGCGCUGAACGGAAGAAAUAUAUGAUAGUUCGGAGUGCCAAACUAGAAACAAACAAAAGCUCUGAAUGCUAAACUAAAGAUGUACAAAGGCUCCGAGUGCCUAAAAUGUGGCUCUGAAUGUCGGACUGAAAAUGCUAAUGGCUCUGAAUGUUGGGACUGAAGACGAUGAUGGCUCUGAACGCCGAAACUGAAGAUGAUGAUCGCUCUGAACGUCGAACUGAGAACGAUGAUGGCUCUGAACACCAAAACUGAAAAUGGUGAUGGCUCUGAAUGCUGAAGUUGAGAAACGGUGAUGGCUCAACGCCAAGUCGUGAAUGCUGAUGACUUUAAAUGCCGAAGCUGAGAAACGGUGAUGACUCUGAGCGCCAAAACUGAGAAGAGAUAGUGGCUCUGAACGCCAAACUGUGAAUGCUGAUGGCUCUGAACACCGAUUUGAGAAGAAAUAAUGGCUCUGAAUGCCAAAUGGAAAAUGCUGAUGGCUCUAAACACCGAACUGAGAAGAAAUAAUGGCUCUGAACGCCAAAUGAAAAAUGUUGAUAGCUCUGAAUGCCGAGACUAAGAAGAAAUAGUGGCUCUGAACGCUGAUUACUACUCACUAAGUGCUAUUUCAUAGCUUGUAAUUAACUCUUUUAAACACUUUUGAGUAGUAGUUAUCACAUUUUAACCCAAUUAACAUAUUAAGGACCCUUGCAAUCAAUUCUAAUCAAAUUGUGUUAAGUUUUGGUGUUUUGAUAGCUUUUUGAUCACCAAAGCAAUCCGAGAUUGAGGAGAGUUCUUUGGAAUCCAUGGCAAAAGAUGUUCGGACAGGGCGUCCGGAAACACCAUUGGAAGGCAGCGGAACGUGGGCUGUGGCAGGCUGUCGGAAUGACGUAGCAAGGCUUGUGCACUAUAGCCAAUGAUCCGGACAACAUAUCCGAAUAGGAUAUGCUAUCGUCCGGGGUGUGAUGAUCGCGAGUGCCAUGUGCUUCUCCCUGAGGGAGUCCGGAUAGGGGAGCUCGCUGCAUGUCCUCUUGAAGAAUUCAGAUGGAGUUGCUCCGGAUAGCGAUGCGCGCUCCAUGUCAUCAGGGGGAGGGGUCCCUACACCUUGAACACGCAGACGACCCCCUUACGACGUGUGGCAUCGCACAUUCCACCCGGAUGUCUCACAUCCGGAAUUCUUCAGUGAAGGGGAGAAGGACCAUGGUUCAACAGUAAAUGCAAAUCCGGAAAAAGAGCUUAUUAAGGAAGAAUUGAUGAAGAAACGCACAUCUCCACCUUUUCCUCAAGCUUUGCAUGGGAAAAAGGGGAUUAGAAAUGCAUCUAAAUUUCUUGAAGUAUUGAGACAAGUGAAAGUUAAUAUCCCACUGCUGGAUAUGAUUAAACAAGUUCCAACGUAUGCAAAAUUCCUAAAGGACUUAUGUACUAUCAAAAGAGGCUUGAAUGUGAAUAAGAAAACCUUUUUGACUGAGCAAGUGAGUGCCAUCAUACAAUGCAAAUCUCCUUUGAAGUACAAAGAUCCGGGAUGUCCUACCAUUUCAGUUAUGAUUAGAGGAAAGGUAGUGGAAAAAGCUUUGUUAGAUUUGGGAGCAAGUAUGAAUUUGUUGCCAUACUCUGUUUAUAAGCAAUUGGGACUUGGUGAGUUGAAGCCAACAUCAAUCACCCUAUCUCUAGCAGAUAGAUCAGUAAAAAUUCCAAGGGGGGUAAUUGAGGAUGUCUUAGUUCAAGAUGAUAAUUUCUACUAUCCGAUAGAUUUUGUUCUUCUUGAUAUGGAUCCUACUGUAAAGGAAGCUAAUUCAGUUCCUAUCAUCCUUGGAAGGCCAUUCCUUGCUACCUCAAAUGCAAUCAUCAAUUGUAGGAAUGGACUCAUGCAACUCACUUUUGGCAACAUGACACUUGAGCUCAACAUUUUUUAUAUGUCUAAAAAGCAAAUCACUCCGGAAGAAGAAGAAGGUCCAGAAGAGGUAUGCAUUAUCGACACUCUAGUGGAGGAGCACUAUAAUCAGAAUAUGCAAACAAGCUCUGAAGAUGUUUCCUCAAAGAAUGAGUGGCUAGACUUUUUGUUCCUUGGAGUUAAGGUUGUCGGGAAAGGUUCCAAGUGCAAGAAUUAGUAGCUUUGUGGUUUCAGCCAUUAAUGAAGAGAAAGUCUGAUCCUUUAAUGAUUUCUAUGUUUUUAGUUAACUUAAAACACCUUCAAUUCACUUGAGCCAACACUUGGUAAGGCAAGUGAUCUCCGUCCAUGGAGAGGCACUAGUUUACCUCUUGCGAGCUUUUGGGAAGUGACUUGAAGGUAGGAUUUUCUAGAAUUGCCAACACUUGGUAAGCUUUUGGAUUCCAAUGAGACAUCCAUUAGUUAUCUCUUGCGAGCUUGAGAAGGGAAGUCCAAAGUUAAAGAUCACCUUGAAUGGCAAAUGCUAGGUGAGAGGCAUGAGCCAUUGCAAGUUGCAUCAGUGAGAGGGAAUUAGAGCUGAAAUCCAUUUAAAGGAUACAUCUGUACAACACCGAUUAGAGAAUUGACUAUAUGUUAAUUCUCUAAUGCGAGGAAAUGAACCAAAUGACCGGAGCUCUGUCUUUGCAUGAGGAACCUCCUCUGUGAACCUAAACCUCCAAGGAAUGUUUUUCUUCAUAAGUAACUUCCAUUACUUCCUUUGCCGUUAGUUUAAACCUAAACCUUUUUCAACCAAAAUUUGUGUUUUAUUUCUUAAGCUAACCUUGAAAUGAAAGGGCACCAAUUCACUUUGAAUUGGUAUCAUUUAUGAAUUGAAAACCCUUCCCAGUGAACGAUCUUAGAGCCACUAUGUUAUAGUAGCUUUGUCUUUGCUACCCUAGUUCAUGGUGUAAUAGGUUAUAAAAUUUGUUGAUUACUCCCUCAAUCAAGGAGCACCAACUGGACAUAAAUCAGCUGAUACACCAAUUGGGCACGAAUCAAACGCCAAAUGGAAAAUGCUAAUGGCUCUGAACGUCGAACCGAGAAGAGAUAGUGGCUCUGAAUACCAAAUGGGAAAUGUUGAUGGCUCUAAACGCCGAGACUGAGAAGAAAUAGUGGCUCUGAACGCCAAAUGGAAAAUGUUGAUGGCUCUGAACGCCGAGACUGAGAAGAAAUAGUGGAUCUGAAAGCCAAAAGGAACAUGUUGAUGGCCUUGAACGCCGAGACUGAGAAGAAAUAGUGGCUCUGAAUGCCAAGUGAAAAAUGUUGAUGGCUCUGAAUGCCAAGACUGAGAAGAAAUAGUGGCUCUGAACGCCAAAUGGAAAAUGAUGAUGGCUCUGAACGCCGAACUAAGAAGAAAUAGUGGCUCUGAACGCCAAAUGCGAAAUGCUGAUGGCUCUGAACGCCGAGACUGAGAAGAAAUAGUGGCUCUGAACGCCAAAUGGAACAUGCUGAUGGCCUUGAACGUCGAGACUAAGAAGAGAUAGUGGCUCUGAACGCCAAAUGGGAAAUGCUGAUGGCUCUAAACGCCAAUCUGAUAAGAAAUAAUGGCUCUAAACGCCAAAUGGAAAAUGCUGAUGGCUCUGAACGCCGAGACUAAAAAGAAAUAGUGGCUCUGAACGCCAAAUGGAACAUGCUGAUGGCCCUGAACGUCGAGACUGAGAAGAAAUAGUGGCUCUGAAUGCCAAGUGAAAAAUGUUGAUGGCUCUGAAUGCCAAGACUGAGAAGAAAUAGUGGCUCUGAACGCCAAAUGGAAAAUGUUGAUGGCUAUGAACGCCGAACUGAGAAGAAAUAGUGGCUCUGAAUGCCAAGUGAAAAAUGUUGGAGGGAAAUAUGCCCCAGUGUAGCGUGUCACCACAACUCUCGAUCCAUCGGAAGGGUCUAGAAGAGACUCUAUAAGUCUCGAAAGAUGCUCGGCUAGUGAAUCGGGACGAUCAAAUCGCAUGAUCCACUAGGGAAUCUCCAGAAAAGCGAUCUGAUAGGGUAACUCCCGUGAUCUUAAUACAACCAUCUACUGAAGAAUCAUGGAUAGCGAGGCAGUCACAACCCGAACGUCCUGCCCCACUGAAAGCUCACCUCGAUGAAAAUCAAAGGAGUAGUGACCAGAUGUGGAGCUUGAAAAGCCCAAAAUUUGAAGAAGGUUGAUUUGAACUAGAUCCAAAUGAACACCGUGUUGAAACAGGGAUGUGGACCUUAAUUCAAAUUCAACCAAGCUAAGCUUGAAAACUAACUUUUUGUAACCGGGGGCUUUCUUUUAUGCUUCUCCAAUGUUUUCAGUCAAGAUUGCUAAAUUGACUGAUUAAAAUGAUAUGGUUAUGAGGCCUGGACCUAGGGCCAGUAUGAAUCCGCAUGAACUUGAUAAUGAGGCCCUAGCACUUAAACCUGUCUUUUGGUUCCAUGCUUGCAAGGAUUCACCACAACCCUCAAAACAAGGAGGCAAAUCAAACAAGAUUGCAGAAAAUUCUACGGUUCUGGGCUUCGAAGGAAGUUUAUGAUCAUGAUACAAUUUAUGGGCUUUAGGGUGAGAUGAUUGGUGGACCCCCAAGCAAUUCUUUCUCAAGCCCUAUUAAGGAGUUAUCUGUUGUUCCUAUGGAUUCUCUCAGCUGUUCCAGGCGGUGCGAUCCUCCCCCCUAUAAAACCAACCUCACAUCUCUCUCAUUCACAUUUCAUUCACAACAUAUCGAAUAGUGGGUUGAGACCUGAUUAUCUGAUUGUUGGGUAUUUCAAAAGACACAUUUCCACAAAUUUUUUUAUCAUACACAUUAAAAAAAUUGAAUUUUUACUCAAGGUGUCUCUUGAAGAGACACUUUCCAUAAUUCUAUAAAAUUAAAUUCAUAUUAAAGGUGUUUCUUUGAAGAAACAACUUCAAAAAAAUAAAAUAAAAUCUAUCUAUUAAUUAGUUUUAUCCUGAAUACAACUAAAUAUUUAAAUUUUAUCACAUGUAUACAUCAUAAUCAAUAUUUUGACCUUUCAAUAUGUGGACUUGUAUUUUUCACGAUGCAUCCAACUCAACUGGCGAGACUUGUUUUCUUUUAAUGAAAAAUUGUAUUUUAUAAAAUAUUGGAGUUGCCACUUACUUCUAUUUAUUUUUAAAGGGGAAAUUAAGUAAAAACAAAACCCCUAAAAUGACUCAUGAUUUUUGGAAAAGCUAUAUGCGAAAAACUCGAGUUUAGGUCUGUGGAUCAGGUUACCUAACGAGAAGGUACCUCCAAAGAGGUAACAUCCCUCUAAGCCCUAACGAGGUCUCUACUACCUAAGUUGAGGGAAAUAUGACAAUUAGUCAAUUUAUUAUGGAUACCUAGAUAGGCUAAGGUGAUUUCGAAUGUUUGUUAAUUCUAACAUGCCAAACAAGGGUUCUAAACACAUUUAUAAAGAAAGGAUAGUAUGCAUACCUGAACUGCAACUUAAGCGCUAUCACAAAACAUCAAUGGUUAGUUAAAAAAAACUCAGAACCUAUAUUUUACCCUAGUCUCUUAAUCAUACAUGGCAAGUCAACAAGCAAUAAAAAAGAUAUGAAAUGAAGAUGUGAAGGUAAGAAGCAUACCUAAAUAACGUAGAUAACUUACAAUGCGCUUCCACAAUACAUGGGAGGUUGAAUCAAAGUUAUAAUAAUAGACAAUUAAAAAAAAGUAAUCCUAGUGUGCAUGGUGUUCGAAUAGCAUAACAGAAAUAACCAGAGUAUAAGGAAACACCAAUUAUCACACAAGUCAUGUAUACAACUCCAAAAAUCAAGGGUUAUGAUUAAAACAUGUAGCAAAAGGGGUAACGCACUAUUAUCAAAAGGAAAAUUAUAAAUUAAUAUUUAGGAACAUCAUUUGAUCAUGAAAAAUUAAGAAAACCUUUCUAUUAUGUCUAUAUCACAAUACAACAACCAACAACAAAUUAUGAGAUGUUAAAUGGUCUUGAAUUAAACAACAAUGCAAGCACGAUGCAAAACUUCUAGUCCAUAAUCAGAAUAAGGCAUCUUUAAGAAUAAAUCCUAAGAAAAUAAAAUAAAAUGGAAUUUGAUCAUACCAAAUCACAAAAGACUCUCGUCAAUGUCUAUAAAAACAUGCCAAAGUUCAAGCAUUCAAUUAAAUAACAUAUUCAAUUCAAAAUAUCCAAAAGUUCCAAAAGGUCUAGAAUUUGGCAGAAAAUAGUAACCAGUGUAAACUGAAUUUUAAAAAUACCUAAAAGCCUUUUAAAUUCAUAAAAAAAACUCACACAAGUCAUUUAAGAUGUCUAGAUAGUCCAAAAAUUUAAUCCAAGGUCAGAAAGCAUUCAUAAGAAUUUUUAGAAUACUAUAAUAUAUCAGUUGUCAAGAUUCAGUCAUGUAAAGUGUGACUUUGAAAAAUCAUAUCUCCGUCAAGAAGACAUUUUUUUUUAAUAAUUUAUGUGUUAAAAUUCAAUUUCAAGAAGUCAAUAAUCUGGGAAAAAUAUUAAUUUAAAUUGAAAAGAUCAAAAGGUAAUUUAAUUUUUCAAAACAAGAUUGAGUGUCAAAAACAAGGUGGAAAUUGAACCUUCUGAAAAAUUGAUUUAUUCUUAUAAUUAGAAAACCAUAUUUGAUCUAAGCAAGAUUAUAUAAUCAAGUUCAAAGAGUCUAGAAUGUCAUGGAAUAGUUAUAAAAAUUUUAAAGGGUAUUUAAGUUAUCAGAUUCCAAUUUAUGAAUACAGAAGUAAAGUGAACUAUCCACAAUUUCAAUGAAAAACUAUGUUUUGAAAAAAAAAAAAAUCUUUGUAUGUAGGGAUCUAUUAAAUCCCAUUUUAAUUUCCAUGAAUUUAUCCAUAAAGACUCCAUUUAUUGCACUAUGAAACUUAAUUCAUGUAUACUCAAAACCAAAAUUCAUUUUAAAACUUUUUUUCAAAUAUGCAUACCGAAUAAAAUUGGUUGCAUGAAUUUUGGAAAAUUGAAUUUUCAUAACCUAACAAUGUUUAAGAUGAAUUUGAAAAUUUGAGAAUUAACUUUUUUAGAAAGCUAGAUUGAAAAGCAUUUUGAAAACGCUAACAAAUACAAAUAAUCACAUAAAAUCACACAACCAAAAGAAGAAAAUUCCUAAGGAAACAAAGUGGUGUGUGCUGAAAGUGAGUGAAUCAUGCUGAGUUGUGUGUGAUGAGAGUGGAAGUGUGGUUGAUGUGUGUGUGUUCAUAGUGGCAACCUGGUGGUCUCCUUCUCUAUGCAGCUGUGUGUGCCUUCUUCAUCAGUUCGACUAGUGUGUGUUCUUCGAAAUUCAGUUGGUGGUGUUCUUUUUCACAAGCUUAUGCAAAUUCUCAAAAUUUAGCAAUCUAAUGCGUGCUUGUGCUAGCAACCUAGUGGUUUCAAAAUCUGAUGGUGUGAUAAUGUGUUUAUUGUUUUUCUCUUCACCACCAUGCACUAUCAACUCACCUCUCCACCAUUAACAGUCGUACACAAUCAGAUUGCCUCCCCAAAGUUCUAAAAAUUCCAAUAAUUCUUUUAUUCCCACCAAAAUUCAAAUCUGUCCAUUAACAGCCACUUCUCUAAUACCUUCUCAUCCUCUUCCCUUCAAGCCAAAACCAUGCACUAAAUCCGUGUGACUCUAGAACAUUUUGUCGCCUUCUUUUUUCCAUACAUCGUGCACAAAACAGCCUCCAUUUUAGAAAAAUCUAGUGCUCACACCAAUCCCUACCGUGUUCAUAAUCAGCUUAGGUGUUCCCCACGCUCUAAUGCUCUCCACUUUACAAAUUCUGAUUUUCAUAUUUCAUUCCUCCACUAAGCCGAAUCUGGUAUCAUCUCACCAAAUACCCAUACCUUUUCAUCCAAUCAUCAACUUCAUAUCGUUCUUUCAAACCAAUGCACUCAAUUUUAACCAUUUAAAAAAUGAAUUCACGCAUUCAUUCUUCCACCAGAAAAAAUCCCCUCCUUUCCAAUCCAUCAUUCCGAUGAUAUUUCUCAUACCCAUAUGCGUGUGUGCAUGGCUAUUUGUGGGUACAACCCAUGAAAAAAAAAUUGUGCAUGGAGCCCUUUUCUGUGCACAACUUUAAAAAAAUUCUGGGGGUCUCUCAAGAAAAUGGACUGUGCGUGUGUUGAAACAAUUUUCAAUGGAUGCAAUUGUAUUCCAGAUGACCUUCCAUACCACUCUCAUGCUGAAUGGGGCAUGUUGUGUCUUUCUUUUUUUCAAAACCUCGUCCUCUCCCUCAACAUUAACAAGAAACCAAACAAUAGGCAGAAAAGAACAAAAACACAUAAAUGAUGUAGGUUAAAGAAAAAAAAACAUAGAACCUAGCUCCAUUUCAUUGAUUCUCAAUGGGCUUUAAACGGGUGAAACCAUUAGGAAGCUGAAGAAGCUCUCAAGGAACAAUUUUAAAACAAUCCAUGCAUCAAAUAUUUAUAGGAGAGGUUAAUGAAAGAAAAGAAACACAGUAAAACCCAAAACAGAGCAUGUGCAUACAUAAUCAUAUUCCACAAGAUAAACUUCAAGUAAUGCCUAACAAAGCAAUGAACAUGUCAAUAGCAAUACGCAUGCAGACACACCAAAUAUUUGCAAAGCUCAAUAUGCAUCCUCUAUUACCCACAAACAAAUAGACAAAUAAUGUCUAAGUAACAAACAGAACAAUAGUAAUGAGGAAUAAUCAAUUAAAAAAAUGCAAAGAAACCAUACUUGAAGGUGCUCUUCUAAUCUUCCCUCGGAUUGGUCAGUUUUCCUUGUUCCCCUCUCCCCCUUUAGAGAAUCUUUUCUUGUCUCUUUUCUGUUUCUCUCCACUCUUCCUAAAAAGUCAGAACCUCCACUUUCCUCUUUUUCAUUCCUUCCUCUCAAGGCUUUUCCAUCUCAUUUUCCUUAUCAAAAUCCUUCUUCUUGAAGGUUUCUCUCUAUCCUGUCGAAAAUCACCUUUCUUCCUCAUGCAAAAACCCUUUGGAAAUCCCCUCUUUCCUUCUUCCCCAUCAUCUCUUGUUUCCAUUGUAAGUUUUCUUACCUUCAAAUUUUUAUUUUUUUAUAUUGUUUUUAAAUAAAUAAAUAAAUGAUAACAACAAUAAUAUCAAUAAUAAAAAUAGAUAAGUAACACAUAUUAAAAUGUGAUAAUAAUAAUAAUAACUGUAAUAAUAAUAGUAAUAAUAAUAGAAACAAUAAUAACAAAAAACAAUUCUUAUGAUGAUGAUAACAAAAUAAACAAUGACUAAAAAAAUGAAUAAAUAAUUAAAUAUAAGUAUGUGACACACAUUUACAAAGAAGAUCAUGCAAGCCAUGCAAGCUACGUCAACCAUGCAAAUAACUUAUAGGUGUUGGAGUAAGCCUAAGUGGACUAGGUGCACCUAGAUGGACCGGGUAUGCCUAAUGGGUUUGGGUAAACCUAAUGGGCCUAAAUAUGUCUAACCAAGCUAUUAUAAAAGUGUACCUAGUAUCCAAAGUGGCUCAAAGAGGUAAGUUAUAUGAGUAUCGAUGGGCCACCAGGAACUACUUUGGAGUGUUGAAAGAACAUUUAAUCAGGGCAUGUGACAAGGGGACAAAAUGGAGGGUUUACACAAUCCAAUAUCAAUCAAAAUGAGUAAACCAAAUGUCAAUUAAGUCGACACUUUCUAAAAUAGUAGCAAUAUUAUUUUGUCUAAAAUAAUUCCAAAAUAGGUACAAUACUAAAGAACUUAUGUUGUUAAUCAACAAUUACUAAAUCUAAAAUAGAGUAAGUAAUAAAUAUACAUUAUUACUAUUUGUCCAAAAUAAUAACAUGCAAAGUAUUAACAAUAUCCAAAAUAGAAAUCAUAUAUAGUAACAUCCUUAAUAUGUACAACACGAAUGAGCUUUCCUUUUUCGUUGUGGACGUCAAUGAUAUGCAUGUUUCACUAUUGGUUGUAGGGGGUUGACAUGUGCUCUCCCAUUUCCUUGAUGACCACAUUCCUCACCAUGUCCUCGACCACGAUAAUCCUCUUGUCCUUGUUGAUCAUCAUUUGUUGUAUGAACUAGCUCCUCAUCAACCAAUGUAGUCUUUAAUGGUUAUGGUCAUAAUGCAACAAGUGGUACUACAAGUGAGGUGGAUGACACCUCCACAGGUGUAAUAGGAGUCUCCUCCAUAGGUGGUGGGCCAAUGACAAUCAAUGGUGCAUCUACAAGAAUAGGUAUAUGCCUAGUCUCCCUCCCAUGAGCCCAUUUUCCUUUAGUUCGUACACCUCUUGAUCGAUGCUAGAGAUGUGUAGUAACAACAACAUUAAAUCAAGUCUAAUAUUACAAAGGUGGAAGAGUGGAUGAUAUCAACUACUAAUGAGGUGGUAGACUGAUGUUAGUUUAUGGUGCACAUAUAACAACUAGUGUAUGCUUAGUCUCCCUUUUAAUAGGCCAUUGUCCUAGUUUGUAUGCCUCCUAAUCGAGGCUAGAGUUGUGUAGAAGCAUCAACACUAAAUAGAGCAUCUAAGUGAUCCAUCUCAUGUAUGCCCUCUAAUACAAUAGUACACAAUCUAUGAAUAUGCAUAUCAUUUGGAGGUGCAAUAUCAUAUAUAUGAUGUAUGAUGGAAUUUGUAAGUCAAAUAUGAGAUAAGUUAAAUUCUUAUAAAAAUAAAAUAAAUUUCAAUAAAAAGUGAAGACAUGCAAAUUACCAAUAGCUCAUGGAAGGACCUAGUCUGAGUAAGAAAUAAAAGAGUAACAGAGAGGUACCACACCAUCUAUGGAUCAUAAUAUCCCAAUGGACCUAUAGCCAUCUCGUCCCUAGCAAUAUGUUUGCUCCUAGAGCUCCAACAUAGAAUAUUGUCUCGAUGUUGAACAGUCCAAUCAACAUCAAGUCUACCUCUAAAAUCACAUUUAUGUAAGAUUGACUCAUUAUCACAUGGCUGAGAAAUCCCUUGACAAAAUCCAAACUGUCGUAAUACUCAGUCAAGUCUAUGUCAUUCAACUAUAUGUGGAAACAUAUUAAAGGUGAGAUAAUGCACCAUAUAUCUUUCUCAACUGUACAAUAAUCAAGAACUUCAACAUUCAUGUCAUCAACAUAAGGUUUUCAUUUAAUUUAUAGUAAAGAAAGGUUAGAUAUAAUCAAUGGUUUGAAAUUUCUUUAGAGAAAAAAAUUUAAGAAAUGAAUCAAACUUUUAUCACCUGAUCUACGGUAAGUCGAUCAAGCUAGUGCCUAUACCGAACUAAGACAUGCAUGGAUGUCGAAGUAGUACAAAACUCAUAUCUCCAACUAUAAAAAUAAAAAACAAAGAUUAAAUAAAAAAAUAAAUGUUAGAAUUUAAGUUUAUAUAUCCUCAUAAUAGUAAAUUGAUGGUAAUGAUGCAUAUGUACUGUAUGGUUAAUGGAGAUAGAGGCAGUUGGUCAUCAUAUGAAGUUAUAUGUAAACAAUGAGAUGCAUUAAAAAGGAACCUAUCCCAUACCCACAACUGGAGUAAAAAAAGUAGACUAGAUAUAUCAUGUAUAUCACUUUAAGAUACUCGACACAAUUGUUGAUAAAGUCAAGCUAAAUAGGCGUUACCCUAACUAUAGCUAUCAACAACCUCAAAAUCCUCUGGAACAGGUUGAAACAUAAGAUACACCUUAUCUCUAGACUUUUCUGAAAAAGAAAACCUCUAAUGAGUUGUAAGAUAUAUGCCUUGGUAUAAUGCCAAAUAGACUACUCAUCAAUAUCUAGUGUCAAAAUAGGGAAGCUUUGACUUAACCAUGUAACAUGAAUAUGAUCGAUUGAUUUUGUCGAUUUAUCAUAUCAAAACACAAUUUUUAACCUGAUUCACUAUUCUAGAGUAGCUUGUACCCAAUCAAAAAUAGUUUUAGUACAAACUAUCGUAGUAUAGUGGUUUUUAGGUGUCAUUCACUAGGAUGGAUUAUUCUCGGUAAUUAAGGAUUGAAUGAGAGGAUAAGAAAUGAUUGUGAUCAAGUGAAAUUUAUUUGAAAAUUCAUGGUCAAAAAUAAGUUUAACAAUGGUCUCAAAUUAAGAAGAACAAUGAAAUGUAAAAUAUAAGAAAAUUAAUAGGAACUGAAAUUCUCAGAGUUAAAAUUUUCUAGAAAACAAAUUCCACGAUGAAUAGAUGUUGAGAUCUAAUUUUUAUCAAGUUUUAUUGAAAACCUAAAUUUUCAUCUAAACCAAUCUUUGAUUUAACUUUAGGUUCACAUCUAAUUUCUCUUCAAAUUAGGUCAUUUAAUCCAAGAGAUCAAUUCAAAUCAUAUAUUCAAUUCAUCUUAAAUUAUCUUCCAAUGAUUCACACAAUGCAACUAUUCAAUCUCAUCAAAUCUAGCUUUAAGAAUUUAAUGAGUCUACCUAGUUUGCAUUGUAGUAGUCAUCCAAGACAAUUUGAAGAGAAAAAUCCCCAAAAUUUAAUUAAUCAAUCAAUUGGAUCAAAUUACCUUUGUAAUUCAAGCUCAUUUCUCUAAUUCACCAUGAAUCUUGCUUUUAGAUCAUCAUUUCUCUGAGAAAAACGAGAUUUAGCCACUCAUGCUUAGAGAUUUGGUCUCAUAAGGCAUGUUUAGCUAGUGAGAAAAUGAGAGAAAAUAAAGGAAAAUAGACAAUUCUAUUGAGAGAGAAAAUCUGGAAAAUUCUACAAUUAGAAGUGUCCAAAAAGCUUCUCACAUGAGAAAUUCAAGUUUCUAUUUAUAGGCCAAGGUCAAGUGGACACUUGGCAACCUCUCAUUGGUCUUCUAGAACCUUCUAAAUUUAAAGAAAUCUGGAAGUUUAACAUUUCACAUGAAAUCUGGAGAUUUCGCAUAAGAUAUUCACAUUUCGCACGAUCGUGCGAAAUUCUAAGGUGAGUGGUUAAAGCAUGUUCAAACACUUUCUAGACCAUUUCGCAUGAUCAUGCGAAAUCAACUUACACAUCUUCCUUAGCUUGCAACCAAUUUUCCUUCUCUAGUUCAUUUCCUACAAUCAUGUGAAAUUUUUGCAUGAUCAUGCAAAUCUGCAACAUUUGGUUUUUGAGCUUUCCUUUGUCAUUUAUUCCAUUUCCUUCUUUUGAUUCCACCUUAACUACUUCCAAUUAGCUCAAAUCUCGGUCCAAACCAAUUGCUUUACUUAUUUCAUUAUGCAUUUGGAUUACCAUUAACAUUAUUUGUUCUCUUCAAUUUGAGUCAUCUCUUGUCAUCAAUUUAUCAAAAUCAUUCCUUGAAAUGACUCCAAAACUUCAUAAAACUUGUUAGUAACUCUUUCAAGGGAAACAACAUGUUAAUUGAGUGUUUUAAGCAUAAUUACUACUCAAAAUUGUGAAACUCAUGAGAAUUAUUAUCUAAAAUAUUCUCUUUUUUAUGAUGAUGACAAUGUCCAAAGAAAACAUGAUUUCAAUGAUUCACAUAGAGUUUUUAAAAUUUCACACAAGUGUGCAAACUAGACAAGAAGGUGAAGUGUGUUGCAACUACUCUCUUCUUUUAAAAUAAUUUGGCACAAUCAUGCAAAAAUUCGCAUGUACAUGCGAAUAAGUCAAGAGAGCUCUAUCUUAUUGUAGCCUUCAACAUAAUUUUUGCAUGGUCAUGCGAAUUGGUCCAGAGGCUUAAAACUGCUGCAGUCAUCCACAUUAGUUUCGCACAGUCAUACAAAAAUUUCACUUGAUCAUGCGAAAUGAGACAAAAACCCAUUUUUUAGCAUUUUCAAAACUAUGAAAACUCCCAUGUUUUUGGCAUGAAUUCCCUUGUUUUUUGCAUGAAUGUGUAAACCGGUGAUGGGCCAUUAAAACUCCUUUUUCCUUACUUCAUGCAUUCCAUCCAUCUGAAAAGUCCUUCAAAACACAAAUAAAAAAUUUGAAAUGGAUUUAUUUAAUGGAAACUAAAAAAAAAUCAAUCAAUCAAAAUUCAAAGGAAAGUGGAGAAAUGCCAAACCAUUGGGCUAGCUAGCCAUUGACAUGACUAAGCCCAUUAACCUUUACACCAAUACUCGAUUUGGAUAUGGCUUGCAAACAAUGAAUUGACUAACUCCUUGGUACUUAAGCUUUCCCGAAAAAAGAUGUGGCUUGAAAUAACCUUCUUUGAACUUGUUCUUUUAAAUAAGUUGGUCAUGCCAUUCCUUGAACUUCUUUUUCAUGGUCUUUGAAUUAUUGUGCAUACCAUACUUCAUGGUUUUCACUUUCUUCAAGAUGAAAGACCAUUUCAUUAACUUCAAAGGUUGAAUUUCUUCAUUGAUCUUCCAAACUUCAAUCCGUUCAUUGGAAAUUGUUUCACCAAGUUUUGAAAAAUUAUCUUCAACCUUUUCCUUGGCAUAGGCUGUAACUUGUCUAAUCAUGUCAAGGAGUGCUAUAUUGACUUUUGCUUGCUUUAAAACUUCAAAAAAAUUUAGAGCAUUAUUUACGACUUUCUUAGAUUGAAGAGCCAUGGGAAAAGGUGGAGCUAAGAGCAUAUCCUUGUUCAUUUUAGCUUCACUCUUCUUCUCUUUCAAAACUUUCAGCUUUUGUUCUUUUACUCUUCUCAUCAUCUUCAUUCUUCUCUUUCUUCUCUUUUGGUUUUGGCAUAGGUUGAUCAACUUGCUUACCACCUCUUAAGGUAAUGGUUGCUUUGAUUUCAUACUCUUUAGUAGAACUUUCACUUGUCUCUCCAAUUUCAUGGACUCCACUUGGAUUUUGUUAGGGUUGUGAAGAAAAUUUUCCUUUUUCUUGCACCGUAUGCAUGCUUGUGAGUUUAGAAAUAGCAAAUUACAUAUUAUCAAUCUUUUGUGUGAGAUUGGUUUACAAGCUAUCAAAUUUAUGAUUGAAAGAUGUCUUGACAUGAUCUAUCCUUUGAUUUACUUGAGUAUUGAUAUUCUUUUUAUCACUAAUAAAAUCUCCCAAAAUUUUACUCAAGUUUACAAUAGCUUGCUUAACCAAAUAAACUUGUUGUGGAGAGUCUUCCAUGAAUUAUUAGCUUUGUGAGUAUUGGCUUGAAGAAAAUUGCUCUUGUCCACAAUUCCAUGACAUGUUCAGAUGAUUCUCAACGAGUCUUUCCCCCAUAGCUGGUAUUAUAGGACAAUCACUCAAUUCAUGUUCUAUAGAUUGACAACCAGAACAUUGCUCCAUGUAAAUUGGAUUGUCAUAUAUUGCAUUCACCUCAUGAAAUCCCUUACCUUCAAGUUCCUCUAGCCUUCUUGUCAAAGCUAUCAUUUUAGCUUGUAGAUCGACAUUUUCAUUCAACAUAUACAUUCCUCCAUUUCAAUUGCUUUGAGACUUGGACUUGUGUAAAUCCCUUUCAUGUGGCUCAUCCCAUGACCCUGAUAUUUCAACCACAUAAUUCAAAAUUUUAAAGGCUUCAUUAGGACUUUUGCUCAUAAAGUCACCUCCACACAUGGUUUCUAGCAAUUGCUUCAUAGUUGGCAGCAUGCCCUCAUAGAAGUAACUCACCAAUAUCCAUGUGUUAAAACCAUGAUAAGGACAAGCAUUGACUACUUCCAUAAAUAUUUCCCAACAAGCAUAAAAAAUUUUAUUGUUCAAUGCCACAAAGUUGAUAAUUUGCCUUUCCAAGCCACUAGUGCGAUGUGUGGGAAAAAAUUUCUUCAAGAAGGUUGUUUGUAGUUCCAAACAUGACCUUAUGCUUUGGGGCCUAAAUGAGUUGAACCACAACUUAGCCUUAUCCUUCAAUGUGAAUGGAAAAAUCUUCAAUCUCAUAAGCUCUAUGGAUGCAGUCCCUUCUUGAAAAGUAUGACAUACUUCUUCAAAAUCCUUUAUAUGAGUUUAAGGAUUCUCAUUCCCCAUUCCAUGAAAUUGAGGGAGAAGUAGUACCAAGUGAGUUUUUAUCACAAUAGGCUCAUUAGGAAGAAUUAUACAAGAUCCCACGCCUAUCCUUUGAGGAUGCAUAUAUUCUCUCAUUGAUCUAGACAUCUGAGAAUUAUCAUUGUUUGGUCUAUGAUGACUUUGUUGGUCUUUCCCUUGAUUUUCCAUUUCUUCAACAAUUGGAUCACAAACCAAAGAUGGUUAGCAAUGCAAGUCCUUUUCAAUCUCUCCCUCAAAUUUUAUUCUUAAUGUAGCAUGCAAUGGAGAGCCUACAAAACAAGCCAAAAAAAACCAAAACAAACCAAGAAGAACAAAAAGAGAAAUAAAAGAUAAAAAUUGAAUAAAAAAUAAUAAGAAAAAUGAAGAAUUGGUAAAGAGAACUUCACCAAUCUUGUGAUGUGGAUCACAAGGGUUAAUCCUCACAAAAAAAAAAAAAUGCCUCAAUCACCUUGGCACCAUCCCAAGCAACGACAUCAUUUUUUAUCAAUUGAUUUUUUCGAUUUAUUGCAUCAAAACACAAUUUAUAACCUAAUUCCCUAUUCUAGAGUAGCUUGUACCUAAACAAAAAUGGUUUUAGUACAAACUACCAUAGUAUAGUGGUUUUUAGGUGUCAUCCACUAGGAUGGAUUAUUCUUAGUAAUUAAGGAUUGAAUGAGAGGAUAAGAAAUGAUUGCGAUCAAGUGAAAUUUAUUUGAAAAUAUAUGGUGAAAAAUAAAUUUAACAAUGGUAUCAAAUUAAGAAGAAUAGUAAAAUGUAAAAUAGAAGAAAAUUAAUAGGAAAUGAAAUUCUUAGAGUUAGAAUAUUCUAGAAAACAAAUUCCAUGGUGAAUAGAUGUUGAGAUCUAAUUUUCAUCAAUUUAGAUUGAAAACCUAAAUUUUCAUCUAAACCAAUUUUUUAUUUAGUUUUAGGUCUAGAUCUAAUUUAUCUUCAAAUUAGGUCAUUUAAUCCAAAAGAUCAAUUCAAAUCAUAUAUUCAAUUUAUCUUAAAUUAUCUUCCAAUGAUUCACACAAUGCAACUAUUCAAUCUCAUUAAAUCUAGCUUUAAGAAUUUAAUGAAUCUACCUAGUUUGCAUUGUAGUAGUCCUCCGAGACAAUUUGAAGAGAAAAAAUCCCCAAAAUUCAAUUAUUCAAUCAAUUGGAUCAAAUUACCUUUGUAAUUUAAGCUCAUUUCUUUAAUUCACCAUGGAUCUUGCUUCUAGAUCCUCCUUUCUUCGAGAAAAACGAGAUUUAGCCACUCAUGCUUGGAGAUUUGGUCUCACAAGGCAUGUUUGGCUAGUGAGAAAAUGAGAGAAAAUAAAGGAAAAUAUAGAAUUCUAUUGAGAGAGAAAAUUUGGAGAAUUCUACAAUUAAAAGUGUCCAAGAAGCUUCUCACAUGAGAAAUUCAAGUUUCUAUUUAUAGGCCAAGGUCAAGUGGACACUUAGCAACCUCUCAUUGGUCUUCUAGAACCUUCCAAAUUUAAAGAAAUCUGGAAGUUUAACAUUUCGCAUGAUUAUGCGAAAUGAACUUACACAUCUUCCUUAGCUUCCAACCAAUUUUCCUCCUUUGGUUCUUUUCUCAUGAUCAUGCGAAUAUGUAACAUUUGGUUUUUAAGCUUCCUUUUGUCAUUUCUUCCAUUCCUUCUUUUGAUUCCACUACCUCCAAUUAGCUCAAAUCCCAGUCCAAACCAAUUGCAUUACUUCUUUCAUUAUGCAUUUGGAUCAUCAUCAACAUUAUUUGUUCUCUUCAAUUUGAUUCAUCUCUUUUGUCACUAAUUUAUCAAAAUCAUACCUUGAAAUGACUCCAAAAUUUCAUAAAACUUGUUGGUAACUCUUGCAAGGGAAACAACAUGUUAAUUGAGUGUUUUAGGCAUAAUUACUACUCAAAAGAUGUGAAACUCAUGAGAAUUAUUAUCUAAAAUAUGCUCUUUUUUAGUAGUAAUUAGAAGGCAUUGCCCAUCUAUGUAUGUGUCCUCAGUAAUAAGACUUAAUAAAGAUGACACAUGUCUAUUAUUUGGACAUGUGCUACCAAUAAAUUCUACUCCAUCUACUGGUAGUUCAAGAAGAAUGGUAAUAUCUUGUAGUGUAAUUGUGCACUCCCCCUGAGGUAAGUGGAAAUUAUGAGUCUCUAGUUGCCAUAUUUCAAUAAAUACAGUAAUAAGGUGUCAAUCUAAGGAAAUGAAUCCUAAGCGUACAACACCAUAGAAGCCUGCUUGCUAUAGUAAUGGAAUAAUACGUCCAUAUGGUGCACUGGUGUGAUGGAAAAUUGCCUUACAAUGUCGACAAUAGAGUUCCUUUAAGUCAACACUUUUCCAUGCUAGAGAAGACUAGUGUGUGUCCUGUCCAUGUAGAAUUGUAAGAUCCAAUGGUCCUAAAUCCAUUAUGCGAUAAUGUUGGGAACUCUGGAUUGCUCCGUUCCCAUGCCCUGAAUCGCAUAGGGUGCAUGCAAACCUAUCCAAGGCUCUCUAAAUCUAUCGCAAUGGAUAAACAUGUAUUAAAAAUGAUAAGAAUACAAUAGAAAACAUAGAUCUAAAGAGUAAAGUCACAUACCUUUGAUUUGAAUGUUCUCAUAUAGAUUCCAAUUGAUGUAGAUAACUCCAAAGUCGUAGUAGAUCUCGUAAACACCAUGAUCUUCCACCCGAUGACUCUUCCUUGUGUCUAAGCACUGAGAUGGUGGAGAUCUCAAGGGUAGAGGCUAGGGUUCUCUCUCUAGACUAAAGGGGAGAAUGGUAAGAGAUUCAAACCCUAACCUUUAAAGGGGUAUUUAUAAGCUUCUUAUUAGGCUUAAGUUACUUAAAACCACCAUGGGCUUGGGUCACUUAAUCUAGCCCAAAAAGGUUGUUAAUUGAUUGAUUAACCAUAUAGGGCCCUAAUUAAUCAAUUAGCCUAGUCCAAAUAUGCCACUCACUUAUCCUUGUGCAACCUUGUGUAAUUACCAAAAUGCCUUUGUACACAAAAGUGAACUAAAAACCCAUCCAACCCUCAUAAACCGUGCUAUCAAGGAAUAUGAGCUCAGAGCGGGGACCACUAUGACCCAUAGGAGUACUGGCUCCCUCAUAAUCAAAUUCUAAAAUUGACUCAACAUCCCACUACAGAGAGUUAACUACACUCUAGUACCUUAUGUAAAUUACAACGAUACACUAAGUGCUCAGGUUAGUGACCUACUAUCCACUAUAUGCAAACUCCCCAUAAACUGGUGUCCAUAAUCUAUUGAAGUAGUGUUAUCACCUAUCAAGAUUACCUCUCAAAUCCUUGAGUUACAGAUCUCACUUAUUAUGUGAUCAACUUACUCUAGCUCUAAGGAGCAUAUGUCAAAUUCUACUAAAGGAAUUACUGUGGCCACAUAUUUCAUGAUCACAUGUUCUUUAGAUCACCAAGGGGACACACUGUCUCAAUCCCAUGAGAUAUCAUGGUGUUUCUAUUGAGAAUACCUAUUGCCACCAUCCUCCAUCAAUAGUGACCUAAUCCAUAGGGAUAUAUAACCACUUUAAGGUCUCACCCAUUGUAGACCCUCAAUUUUGUUCCUUUAGCACAUGCCUUUAAGUUCAUUUCCAGUGUUCCACAAUAGUUCCUUGGUGGCCCGUAGCUACUCACACUACUUACCUUUCUUGAGCCACCUCGGAGACUCUGGUUAAGGGAUUGCCUAACCCCUUAUUGUGACCCUUGGUAGUUUUUAUUAGACUUAAGCUUUUCAUUCCUUUUUAGGAUAGUGCUUAGGCAUGUUUAGGUCACUUAGAUCACUUUAGGACACUUAGUUCAUUAGGCACCCACUUAGGCCCGUUUAAACACUUCAUCGGGCUUAACUUUUAUAUAUAUAUAUAUAUAUAUAUAUAUAUAUAUAUAUAUAACUUUUAUUAUUAUUAUUAUUAUUAUUAUUAUUAUUAUUGCAUGCAUUCGAUGAUUAUAUUUAUUUUGUUUAUUCAUUUUCAUUUUUACUCUUUAUUUGUUUAUUAUUAUUAUUAUUAUUACUAUUUUUAUUUUUAUUUUUAUUUUUAUUUUAUUUAUUCUUAUCUAAUAGGAAAUUGCUUGAAUUGUUUAGACUCUAAAAUGUGCAAAUAACCCUUUAUUGAAUGGUGGAAUUAUAUAACCUGGUUUCUCUUUCUUUUUUCUUUCUUUUCUUUUAAAAUCGUAUUCAUUUUACUACCAAUCUCAUAAUUUUUCAUCAGUUUCUUCUCUUUUCUUUUACCUUUUUUAAUUUUAUUUUAUUCUGUUUUGCAUGAGGAGAAAAAUUGCAUGGGAUUUCUUCGAGAAGAUUAUGAGCAAGGCAAAGAUGUACAUGCAGCAAGAAAGAUCUGAGAAAUCCAUCUACAGAAUAUUACCGUAAAUUAUUAGUUGGGCAUUUAUACCCAUCUCUAGUGUGCGUCCAAGCAUCACGUGACCACCACUUUUCGGUUCCAAAAGGCUUUAAAAGGUUGUAGACGCAUGCGUUUUAAGGGGGGGCCAUCAAGCAUUCACUCGACAAGCAAGAGAAACACAUAGGCUGCAUUGUUCUCCAACAAUAUACAACAACAUACAUUCUUGAAGAGAAGAAGGUAGAUAGAGGCAAGCAAUGGGGUUUAACAUGAGAAGCAGAAGAGGGUUUUUGAAACAAAUUGGAACUCUUUACGCAUCCUAUACAACUUAUCAAAUUCAAAAUAGGUUUCUUCAUUCGACUAUGGCCAAACCCCUUUCUCCUUCAUCUGCCCAUACUCCACUGAAUUGCAACCUCAACUUUCCACUGAUCUUAUUGGGAUUAUGGAACAAAGGCUGUCAGCGAUUGAACAUAGGAGUGCUUAUCUUCAAUAUUUUAUAAAGUGGACAGCCAGAAGCCUCACCAAUGGAGUAUGCUAGUGUUGGGACAUCAUUUGUUUUUAUCCGGGUAGGGCCGCUGAGUAUAUUUGGUUCUGUGCCAGUCAGGGGCACCACAGAGUGGCCUUCCUAGGAUUCGAACUUGGGUCCAGGCCUUAAGGCUUAGGACGUUGCCUUCCUGGUACCAUCUAGGCUACUAGCUCAGAUGGUACCAGGAGGGCAACUGUCUGGGUUAAGGUCCCGAGUUCGAAUCCUGGUGACGUCACCCACAAAGGCCAAAUAAACAAAUGGCCCCAUAAGACUCUGCGUUGUCCGGCCCAUUCCGGCUGUGACGCCCCUGACUGGCACAGUUCAGUGGUAGGCUGGGCACCAGAGCAAAAAAGGUCGACGUUUAUGUUGGGACAUCAUUUGUUUUUAUCUGGGCAGGGCCGCAGAGUAUAUUUGGCUCUGUGCCAGUCAGGGGCACCACAGAGUGGCCUUCCCAGGAUUCGAACUUGGGUCCAGUCUUAGGACGUUGCCCUCCUGGUGACGUCCCCAGNNNNNNNNNNNNNNNNNNNNNNNNNNNNNNNNNNNNNNNNNNNNNNNNNNNNNNNNNNNNNNNNNNNNNNNNNNNNNNNNNNNNNNNNNNNNNNNNNNNNGUCAGGGGCACCAGAGAGUGGCCUUACCAGGAUUGGAACUUGGGUCCAGUCUUAGGACGUUGCCCUCCAGGUGACGUCCCCAGGCUUCGAACUCAGGACCUUAACCCAGACAGUUGCCUUCCUAGUACCAUCUACGCUAGUAUCCCAUAUGGUACCAGGAGGGCAACGUCCUAAGCCUUAAGGCCUGGACCCAAGUUUGAAUCCUAGGAAGGCCACUCUAUGGUGCCCCUGACUGGCACAGAGCCAAAUAUACUCCGCGGCCCUGCCCGGAUAAAAACAAAUGACGUCCCAACAACUAGGACUAAUAAGGAGCUUCGGAAACUCAGAAGUUCAAUCAAACAUAUUGAUUCGACUCAUGGUAGCUUAGCUUUAAAGGCGUAUCAACAAAAUUUAUACCUUAAAUACUAUUACUAAAGUAGCCAAGCUACUAUAGCAUAGUGGUUCUAGGAUCGUUCACUGGGAAGGGUUUUCGCAAACAGUAGUGAUAUUCAAAUUAGGAAAAUAGGUGAUUUUCUUAUGCAUGUUAGCUUUAAAAGAAGAUGUAAAUAUUUCAGAAAGAUUUAANNNNNNNNNNNNNNNNNNNNNNNNNNNNNNNNNNNNNNNNNNNNNNNNNNNNNNNNNNNNNNNNNNNNNNNNNNNNNNNNNNNNNNNNNNNNNNNNNNNNAAGUGGUUUAUAUAUCCCUAUGGAUUAGGUCACUUUUGAUGGAGGAGGGUGGCAAUAGGUAUUCUCAAUAGAAACACCCUGAUAUCUCAUGGGAUUGAGACAGUGUGUCCCCUUGGUGAUCUAAAGAACAUGUGAUCAUGAAAUAUGUGGCCACAGUAAUUCCUUUAGUAGAAUCUGACAUAUGCUCGCCAGAGCUCGAGUAAGUUAAUCCUAGGAAGGCCACUCUAUGGUGCCCCUGACUGGCACAGAGCCAAAUAUACUCCGCGGCCCUGCCCGGAUAAAAACAAAUGACGUCCCAACAACUAGGACUAAUAAGGAGCUUCGGAAACUCAGAAGUUCAAUCAAACAUAUUGAUUCGACUCAUGGUAGCUUAGCUUUAAAGGCGUAUCAACAAAAUUUAUACCUUAAAUACUAUUACUAAAGUAGCCAAGCUACUAUAGCAUAGUGGUUCUAGGAUCGUUCACUGGGAAGGGUUUUCGCAAACAGUAGUGAUAUUCAAAUUAGGAAAAUAGGUGAUUUUCUUAUGCAUGUUAGCUUUAAAAGAAGAUGUAAAUAUUUCAGAAAGAUUUAAACUAAUCUAAGCUAACAUUAAAGACUAAAAUGAAAGGGUGUAAAAACAAGUUUCUCAAAUAUAGGAUAGCGAUGCUUUGGCUCUUAUGCAAAUUGGAAAUCUCAGGAUAGGCUCCUCGCGUUGGGGUUGCAACUAUGGUGAUGCUUGCUUCCCGAACCGGUAUGGAUUUAGCAAAUCAAGUUUUAAUCCUUUAAAAUGGCAAAACAGAUGGUAGUGAAUUUCAUCAAUGGUUAUUCACCUUAGACUUCCUUUGAAUGGCUCGUAAGAGAUAACUAAUGGUCUAAAGCCAAAAGCUUACCAAAUAUUGGCAACUCAAAGUCAUUCCAAGUGAUAAACUCACCUUUCAAUGGCCAUUGAAAUUGGUUCUAAUGGAUUAAUGCAAAACUUGGAAUUGAAAACCUCACCUUCCAAUAGCUCGUAGGAGAUAACUAAUGGAUAGAAAUCCAAAAGCUUAUCAAGUAUUGGUCGUUGGAAGUUGUCCAAAGGAAAUAAAAACCAAACUUUGCCUUAAUGAACCUUUAAUGAAAAACGUCUACCUUACCUUCCGGGUGAGAGAAAUUUCCAUGGGAUUGCAUCCAAGCCAUCACAUAACAUCCAUACUUUGAGAAACUAAAAGUUUUAGCCAAUCAUCCUCUAAGGAAAAGCCCUUAGAGGCUGUUUGGCUACUAAGAAAAUAGAAACGGGAGAACAAGAGAAGAGAGAAAAACAGAGCAAGGCUCCGUCUCUGUAUAUAUGCGUCUCUGUCUUCAAGAGGUGAUUUCCACCCCUAAUAUAGUCUUUACAAAAGCAAAAGCUUGUGAUUGGUUAGUUACAAGGAUAAGAAAGGAAAUUACAUCACAAAAUACAAAGGAAAAUAUCUAAAGUGGAGUCGGCAAAGGCAGAGCAAAAUUCGCAACACGCAUGGGUUAUGCGAAUGUUAUGCGAAUGUUAUGCGAAUUUCGCAUAACACCUUGUGGAAUGCGAAAUUUUCGCAUAACCUGGAGCAGUUGGCUUCUGAAGGCCAUAUCUUCCUCAUUUCAGCUCCAAAUCGUGUAUGGUUUGAAGCGUUGGAUUCUUGACUUCCAGAGCUUUGAAAUGGUAUAUAGUAUGCAAAAAAUGGACUUCAGGAAGUGCUCCAAAAGUGCGAAAGAAGACUGCAGCUGCUGUCCUCUUUGCUUCUCUUCACUUUGCUUGCUUUUCCUCUUUGCUUCUCUUUGCUUGUGCUCGUGUUUCCACUUGAAAUUCAAGCUUGUAAAUGUCCAAAAUCCUUGCUUUAACUUGUCCAAGUAGCUCCUCCAUCAUUUGGCAUGCUUGAAUCGAUUCAUAAGCUGAUAAAAACAUGUAAACUUGCCACAAAAUGGUUAAAACCAAUUACUAAGGACCUUAAUGAAUUAAUUAGGUUAAAUGAAUAUGAUUACUACUCAAAGGUGCUUAAAACCAUUAUAAUUAGGUCUACAAAAUAGCACUUUUUGGUAGUAAUCACACCCCCCAACCGACUCAUUGCUAGUCCCUUAGCAAUGGAGGAGAUAAAAACUAAGUAAACUAUAAUAAUAUACAUAAAAGGGAUCAUGCAAAUCACUCCAAAAAAAUGAUAUGAGUGGCAUGAUGGACAUCCAUGGAUCAAUAAAGAUGUGAAACUCAACCUAUAAUAAGAGUUGUCAAAGCAUUCACUUGAUCAUAGAGUACAAAGAAUGGAUAUUAUGCAAGUUUAAGCAUCAAAAGAAUUUCCACUCUCAAAAGAUCCAAAUCAAAUUCUUCCACUAAAAGCUAAGUGUUAAUGUGAUUAGCUUCCGAGUAUAGUAUGGAUAACUAUCAUCUCCCCCCAACCUAAGUCUUUCUUUAAGCUUAGCAAAAUUAACCAUCUCUUGAUAGGCUAGGAACGCACCUCUUAUUCACAAUUCUUUUCACUUACUAAACUUAACCAAUUCACCCAUGUAACAAGCAGAGGAUCGGUGACUCCCAACCAAUAAAGGCUUAGGGCACCAGGCUUUAAAGGCUUUCGCCACCCCUUCGGACCAUGCUCAGGUUUAAAGGUAAGCAAAGAAGUUUAUUCUAUUUUUUUUUUCUUUUUCUUUUUCUUUUUCUUUUUUUUUUCAAAGACUCAUUGGUCUUUAUGAGGUGUCCCAACACUAUUAAAGAGAGGUUAAAGGUGUCAAAUUAUGAUUUCUCAAGCUUAGAGGGUGAUAUAGUUUCACAUCUUAUAACCGGAAUCUAAUGUAUGUUUGUGCGAAUAGCUUAAGGUGGAAGAGAUAAGUUUGCAUGCAAUGAGAGUUUCAACAAUUCAUCAACUUUUAGAAGAGCAUAAUACAAACUCUAAGACUCAUGUAAUCAAGUUGAAACUCGACUUCUCUCAUUUAAUUUUGAGAGUUAAUCCUUAAUAUCCAUGGAGUUUAAGCAAAAAUUUUAAAAUUUAAACAAAAGGUAGCUAAUUUAACUAAGUAUGAUAAAAAUUUAAACUAAUACUUACUUCCUCAUCUCUCCCCCCAACCGAGAUGAACAUUGUCCUCAAUGUUUGAAUCGAAAAUAAGGAGGAAGGAAGUGGUACCUCAUGUGAUGUGGACUUGGAGUUGAGAAGGUUGAACCACCUAUUUCAAAAUUCAAAAAUUGAAUGAGAGAGGAAUUUAUACUAAAUAUUUACAAAAAUGAUGAGUGGGCCCCACUUUGAGCAGCUGAGGACAAGGCUCAAAGGCUCCAUGCCAUGAUGGUAUACUGAUAUAAGUUGCAAUGACAUUUGAAUGUAGCUUGCAGGGGUGUUAAAAUUGGAGAUUUUUGGCUAAAACAGGGGAAAGUUAAAAAUUCGCACAAGGGGGGUGUUAUGCGAAAAUUUCGCACUAGGGGGGGUGUUAUGCGAAUUUCGCAUAACACCUUGUGGAAUGCGAAAUUUUCGCAUAAGCACUAUUCACCCGCCCAAAUGCAAAAUUGGAUUCUUUCAAAUGGUGAUAACUUCUUCGUUUCAAAUCCAAAUCGCACACCGUUUGAAGCACUGGACUUCUAACUUCCUAAGCUUCAAAAAGAGAUAUGGUAAGCAUAAUUUGAGCUCCAGAAAGUGCUCCAAAAACGUGUCCAACAGUAGCAAAAUGGGGUGCGGCUGCAACAUUCCCGUUUAGCUUUGCACAGUCAUCUUCAAACGGCCAUAACUUCUUCGUUUCAGCUCCAAAUCAAGCACCGUUUGAACCUAUGAACUCCUGACUUCCCAAGAUUUGAAACGAGAUAUCGUACACAUAAUUUGAGUUUCAGGAAGUGAUCUAAAUGUGCCCAACAGUUGCCGAAAUGGGGUGGUGCGAAUUGCUCUGUUUUGGCUUUUCUCCCCUGUUUUCCCUUGUUUUCACCAUAACUUCGAUUUUUGCAAGCAUCAUACCUGCAUGAACACUUCAAAACUCAUCUUAAAAACAUAUUAAAACUAAAUUAAAGCUAAAAAUUCAAAUUAAAACAUGCAUGAAUUUAAAGAAAGCAUAGAAUUUAAAUGAAGCUGAUAGCAUGUAUCCCAAAAAGAAGAUGAACUAUUUAGCUCAUCCUCACUCACACACCCACUUCAUGCUGAACUCCCCCUGGAUCCCAAACAAAAUUGGCAUCCUUCACAUUUGGCCCAAGGGAAUUCGUUUCUCUUCUCUUCCCUGGAGAAGUGGAUGCUUUAAAGGGUUCAAGUAACCCUUUAUCAUCUUGAACCUUAUGAUUUUCAAUGGAAGGUUGGUCCAUAAAGUUGUCAUAGCAAUCCCCCACCAAAGUGUCAAUCAUCAACACUUUCCUUGAUCUUUUUGCAUUGGUUCCUUGAAGGUUAUGGUGGGGUUGAGGAGGAAGCUUCCUUUUCCCCCUUGCUAUGUCGAGAUUGGUGAGCUUCUCAAUGGAGUCUUGAACUUUUUCUAUCCUUAGUGAUAGAUCAUUAUAAACUCCCUCCAUUCUUACAUUCAUUGAACUCUCCAUAUUAUCAAUCUUUUCAUUAAGAUGAGAGUUGAUCUUUUGUUGCCCACCUACAAAGUCCUCCAUGACUUUGCUUAUCUUCAAAAUGGCUUGCUCCAAUGAAGAUGUACUCAUUGAUGGUUGAGGUUGAGGUUGGGUUGUAAGGUUGGGAUGUUUUAUAUACUCAAAUGAAGUUGGCAUGGCUUGUGGUUGUGCUUCAGUAUGCACAUUCCUCAAUUCAAACUCUUCUAUCCUUCUAGCCAUAGAUGCUAGCUUUGCCUUCAUGCUCAUGUCUUCAUUCAAAGCAUACUUACUACCCCAUUGGCUUUGUUGAACUUGCCUUUUCCCUAACUCAAUCCGAUCCCUCAUGGAUAGGUAUGCAAAUUUGUCCUUCUCAUGAUCAUAAUGAGAGCUUUGAUCUUCAUGUGGAAUUUCCAUUUCUAAAAAAAAAUGAUAUUCAACUAAGGCUCUUUUCUUCAACUUGUACCAGGGUUCCCUCUUGGUCUCGAAUCCAACAAGGAAUGCACAAAUUGAAAUUAAAACAAAAAUAAAAGAAAAGAAAAUAAAAAAUUUAACUAAAUAAAAAUUAAACUAAAAAAAAUUAUAAGAAAACUCACCAAACUUGUGAUGAAGAUCACAAGUUACCCUUAAUGGUUGCUUCACUGUGCUUGUGGCACCUUCCCCGGCAACGGCGCCAUUUGAUUCGACUCAUGGUAGCUUAGCUUUAAAGGCGUAUCAACAAAAUUUAUACCUUAAAUACUAUUACUAAAGUAGCCAAGCUACUAUAGCAUAGUGGUUCUAGGAUCGUUCACUGGGAAGGGUUUUCGCAAACAGUAGUGAUAUUCAAAUUAGGAAAAUAGGUGAUUUUCUUAUGCAUGUUAGCUUUAAAAGAAGAUGUAAAUAUUUCAGAAAGAUUUAAACUAAUCUAAGCUAACAUUAAAGACUAAAAUGAAAGGGUGUAAAAACAAGUUUCUCAAAUAUAGGAUAGCGAUGCUUUGGCUCUUAUGCAAAUUGGAAAUCUCAGGAUAGGCUCCUCGCGUUGGGGUUGCAACUAUGGUGAUGCUUGCUUCCCGAACCGGUAUGGAUUUAGCAAAUCAAGUUUUAAUCCUUUAAAAUGGCAAAACAGAUGGUAGUGAAUUUCAUCAAUGGUUAUUCACCUUAGACUUCCUUUGAAUGGCUCGUAAGAGAUAACUAAUGGUCUAAAGCCAAAAGCUUACCAAAUAUUGGCAACUCAAAGUCAUUCCAAGUGAUAAACUCACCUUUCAAUGGCCAUUGAAAUUGGUUCUAAUGGAUUAAUGCAAAACUUGGAAUUGAAAACCUCACCUUCCAAUAGCUCGUAGGAGAUAACUAAUGGAUAGAAAUCCAAAAGCUUAUCAAGUAUUGGUCGUUGGAAGUUGUCCAAAGGAAAUAAAAACCAAACUUUGCCUUAAUGAACCUUUAAUGAAAAACGUCUACCUUACCUUCCGGGUGAGAGAAAUUUCCAUGGGAUUGCAUCCAAGCCAUCACAUAACAUCCAUACUUUGAGAAACUAAAAGUUUUAGCCAAUCAUCCUCUAAGGAAAAGCCCUUAGAGGCUGUUUGGCUACUAAGAAAAUAGAAACGGGAGAACAAGAGAAGAGAGAAAAACAGAGCAAGGCUCCGUCUCUGUAUAUAUGCGUCUCUGUCUUCAAGAGAUGAUUUCCACCCCUAAUAUAGUCUUUACAAAAGCAAAAGCUUGUGAUUGGUUAGUUACAAGGAUAAGAAAGGAAAUUACAUCACAAAAUACAAAGGAAAAUAUCUAAAGUGGAGUCGGCAAAGGCAGAGCAAAAUUCGCAACACGCAUGGGUUAUGCGAAUGUUAUGCGAAUGUUAUGCGAAUUUCGCAUAACACCUUGUGGAAUGCGAAAUUUUCGCAUAACCUAGAGCAGUUGGCUUCCGAAGGCCAUAUCUUCCUCAUUUCAGCUCCAAAUCGUGCAUGGUUUGAAGCGUUGGAUUCUUGACUUCCAGAGAUUUGAAAUGGUAUAUAGUAUGCAAAAAAUGGACUUCGGGAAGUGCUCCAAAAGUGCGAAAGAAGACUGCAGCUGCUGUCCUCUUUGCUUCUCUUCACUUUGCUUGCUUUUCCUCUUUGCUUCUCUUUGCUUGUGCUCGUGUUUCCACUUGAAAUUCAAGCUUGUAAAUGUCCAAAAUCCUUGCUUUAACUUGUCCAAGUAGCUCCUCCAUCAUUUGGCAUGCUUGAAUCGAUUCAUAAGCUGAUAAAAACAUGUAAACUUGCCACAAAAUGGUUAAAACCAAUUACUAAGAACCUUAAUGAAUUAAUUGGGUUAAAUGAAUAUGAUUACUACUCAAAGGUGCUUAAAACCAUUAUAAUUAGGUCUACAAAAUAGCACUUUUUGGUAGUAAUCACAUAUAACUGAGUUGAGGAAUAAACAGAAGAAGAUUGAUGGUUUGAAGUCGCUCAUGGUCGAAUGUUUAGAAGAUAAAGAUAUGCUUAACAUGGCAGCUGAGGAAUUGGGUCAGGCCAUAGAGGAAGAGAAAAGGCUACAGAAUCUGCUACUAAAAUCAUUACUUCCCAAGGAUGAAGUUGAUGAAAGGGACUAGCAAUGGUGGUGAAAACCAGCUCGUGUCGACGUCGCUAUACGUCGGUGGCCUAGAAUCAAACGUCACCGACUCGCAUCUCUUUGAUUUGUUUGGUCAACUGGGUCCGGUGGUUUCCGUUCAGAUUUGCUGCGACUUGAGCACUCGAAGAUCACUCAAUUAUGGUUGUGUUAAUCAUGGCAAUCCCCAAGACACCGUAAGGGCAUUGGAUGUGUUGAAUUUCACUCAUCUCAAUGGAAAGCCAACUAGGAUUAUGUAUUCCCAUUGUGACCCUAGUGUCCGCAAAAGUGGAACUAGGAAUAUAUUUAUUAAGAAUUUGGAUAAAAGGGUUGACCACAAAGCAUUGCGUGACACUUUUUCCACAUUCGGUAACAUCUUCUCAUGUAAGGUAGCCGCUGAUGCAUCUGGAUCAUAUAGUGGGCUGUGAGGAGAUUCUUUUUUGUUUUUUUUAGAAAGAAAAGUCAACAUGGUAAGGAUCUGAUCACUUACCAAAUAUGACAAGGCGGCAUCUUGAGGGAAUCUCCAAGUGAGUCACCAUGUAUGUACUUUCCAUAUAUCGAUGCGCAUUAAAAAGGAAAUGGAGAAUUCCAUAAAAAUGGUGGGUUGCCAUAUAAAUAGGAACAUAGGAACGGGCAGAGGGAUUUUUUUUUUUUUUUUUAGGAGAGGAUCCAAGCAUAAAGCAGAAUUUUUCAGAGGGGAAUAAGCGGAAAGAAUUUUCACGCGGAACUUUGGAGGAGAGCAAGGGACUUCAGGCAGAAACCAGGCUAUCAGCUUAGUCACCAAGAGAGGAUUUUCUCUUUCACUUCACAUGUUAGUUUUCCAUAUAAUAUUUUUAUUUAGUCUAGAUUUUUUUUAACAAAUAUCAAUUUUUGAUUAAUUCUUUGUGUUAAAGUUUAUUUUGUUUUUAAAUUCUCAAUUAGUUUAGUUCUAAUCCACCUUUUAAUUUUAUUUUCUGAUUUAAUUUGAAUGUGUUAGUGACUUUUAUUCCUUAGUUUAAGUCAUUUGUGAAGUAAACUUUAUUUUUUAAAAUUCCGGAUUAACUUAAUUUAAGUUUAUGAUUUAAUUUGAAUGUGUUAGUGACUUUUAUUCCUUAGUUUAAGUAAUUUGUGAAGUAAAGUUUUUUUUUUUUAAAUCCCGGAUUAACUUAAUUUUAGUUUAUGAUUUAAUUUGAAUGUGUUAGUGACUUUUAUUCCUUAAUUUAAGUAAUUUGUGAAGUAAAGUUUAUUUUUUAAAAUUCCGGAUUAACUUAAUUUUAGUUUAUGAUUUAAUUUGAAUGUGUUAGUGACUUUAAUUCCUUAGUUUAAGUAAUUUGUGAAGUAAAGUUUAUUUUUUUAAUUCCGGAUUAACUUGAUUUUAGUUUAUGAUUUAAUUUGAAUGUGUUAGUGACUUUUAUUUCUUAAUUUAAGUAAUUUGUGAAGUAAAGUUUUUUUUAAAAAAAAUUCCGGAUUAACUUGAUUUUAGUUUAUGAUUUAAUUUGAAUGUGUUAGUGACUUUUAUUCCUUAGUUUAAAUAAUUUGUGAAGUAAAGUUUAUUUUUUUAAAUUCCGGAUUAACUUAAUUUUACUUUAUGAUUUAAUUUGAAUGUGUUAGUGACUUUAAUUUAUUAGUUUAAGUAAUCUUGUGAGAUAAAGUUUAUAUUUUUAAUUCCGCAUUAGUUUAGUUUUAGUUUAUGUUUUAGUUUGAAUGUAUUAGUAAUUUUAAUCCAUUAGUUAAAUAAUUUCAUUAGAUAAAGUUUAUGUUUUUAAAGGAGUUUUGAUUUUGUUUUAUCCCAUCUUUUUAGUUGAUGUAUUUUUAUAAUCUUAGUUUAGUUUAUUAGAUUAAUUAAUUUUAUUGAUAAAAUUUAUACUUCUAAUCUUGUUUUAGUUUAAUUGCAAUUUAUUGUUUGGUUUGUAUUUUCUUUUUAUAUAAUCUUAGUUCAUUAAUUUAAUCAAUUCUAUUGAUAAAGUUCAUGUUUUUAACCUUGUUUCAGUUUUGUUUUAAUUUAUAUAUUUAGUUUAGGUUUCUUUUUUAGAAUUUUAGUUUAUCAAUUUGGUUGAUCCAUGUAAUUAAUCUCAUGUCUUUUUAAAUUGUUUAUCCUUGUUUUGAUUCAUGUUAUCUAGUUUAAGUGGUUUUAGAAUUCUAGUUUAUUAGUUUAAUUGACCCUAUGCGAUUGAAUUUAUGUUUUUAAAUAUUAAUCUUAUUUUUUAUUCAUCUUUUUAGUACAUGAGUUGUUUAAGUUGAUUGGUUCCAUGUCAUUUUCAUGUUCUUAAACUUGUUAAUUUUAUUUCUUGGUUGAUCCACUUUUAGUUUGUAUGUUUUUUAAAUCUUUAGAUAACUUGUUUAAUUGAUCUUAAGUUGUAUUCUUUCUAUCUUAAAUAUAUAAAUUUUCAUUCUUGGAUUGAUCAUAAUUUAGUUCAUAUGUUUCUCUAAAAUUUUAGUUAAUUAGCUUAAUUGAUCUUAUGUUAGUUUUUUAUUAUUCUUCUGUGUUCAAUUCCCCAUUUUUAAUUCUUGAUUAAUAUCUUCUAAUUUUAUUUGAUCUAAAAUCAUUUAAUUUAUUGCUUUGAUAGUUUUCUUUGUUUUUUUUUUUGUGAAGUUUAAUUUUUAGAGGUCAUUUGAAAAUCAUGAAGAUUGGCUUCUACCCUCACCUUUAUUAGUCUUGUUGAUUACUGAGAAAAUUUUACUUUGUGAUUUUGUUUUAUUUUGGGUUGCCUAUAUUUGAUCUUUGCGAAUUGUUUUUUUGUGAAUAAUGUCUUUCUCUUUAAAAUAAAAUACUUUUCUCAAAAUGUUCCUUAUAAAAAUCCAUUUUAAAAAUUCAUUUAGAGUCCUUAGAAUCAAAAAUCUCAUUUUCUUAAAAUAAUAUGCAACCAAUUUUUUUUAUCAGUUUGCAUCUUUCUUGGUUUUUUUAAUGAAAAUUUUGGUUUUAAAUCAAACACAAAUCCAAGCUUUUGGUCCCUAUAUGUGGUUCAUUAUUCAUGGUGGCCUAGUUAUAGAUAUGUAUAUUAAACUUCAUUCCUUUAACUUUUAAAAGCUGACAUCACAUAUAAUACCCUCAUUAACAAGGACAUUCCCCCCUCAAGAUGGAACAUAUAAAUUUUCAUUGCUUAGCUUGGAAUUGAAAGCCGAAAAUAGGUUUUUGCACAGAGAUGAAGCAAUAUCACUUCCCCUGUGGUUUUGUUGGUUUUUAACCUUCUUAGUUGGUGGUGAGGUUAUUGUUAUUACCUUUAUUGGAUCUUGGUAUCAUUUCUGGAAAUGGAACAGUUACUAUAGUUGAAUUUCUGAAUAAGUUGAAUUUUAACUUUUAUACUCAGACUUUCAAUGAAUUUUUAUCAGAGAGUUGAAACCCGGUGCUAGACCAAUUGCCUGCACGGAACAUGAUGACGUUGUUGUAUGUGCUGCAGAUGAUCGUCUAACAGCAUUUAAAUCUUUUGAAGUUUCUCUAAGAUUUUGGAUUAAGGUAUUAUAUAUCGCUUUGAAUAUUUGUGAUGUAAGAGCUACACAUCUUUUAGAGGUUGUUUUGGUCUCAGCUUUUGCUAUUUUGUUUAGGUAAAAUGAAACUAAUGGUCAGAAGUACUUUCUGAUGAAGAGUAAAAAGUAGUUAUGAUGCAAGAAGUGUGAGCUCCUCGUACCAUCACCCCGGUUGAGACCUUGUGGUUUUCCAUGAAAUUUCCCACAUUUUUCUUUGGUGUGAUAUGUUUUCUUGCUGUACGAGCACUUCUUCAUCAACUCCUGUCUUCCUUGCUCCAUGUUAACAUUAUGAUUUGUACCAUUUGGUUUGGCUCCUCCACUUGGUUUCUUUACAAUCAUGGUUUAUCCAUCCACUAGUGGUGUACCAAGCAUCACCUAUAGACCCCAAAGUUUGUUCCAAUUUUAUUUUUACAUUAAUUUUUGAGCCCACAACAUUUUAUCAUCCUUUAAAGGAUCAGCACACAUGGCAGAGAAGAGGUGACCUUGUACUGGCUGUCCAAAAGGUGACAUGAGGGACCCAUUUGAAAUCUGCUAUCAUGAACACCCUACACCCUCUUUUUUCUUAUUUAAGAAAAAGAAAAACACUGAAAUAGAAGUAGGAGCGUGCGUGUGAGUGUCAGCUCACAUGGUAGAAAAGAUGUGGCCCUUUUACUGUUUCUCCAUUUAACUUAAAGGUUACACUGAACAAAAAUAAGAAGUUUAGGAUAUCAAACACUAGCUGCCCAUUUGGAAAAAAAUGACUGUUUCAAGUCCAUUUGGCAGCCAUUGCGGGACUAAAACAAAAAAAUUACCUUACCCAAUAAAAUGGUAAUUUAUUUCAAUUUGGACCAUAAUUCUCAUUCCUACUAUAUAUUUAUUUAUAUUUGGAAUCAUCAGUUGUAGCAGCCUUGCUUCAUCUACAACCUAAACAUGGUGAUGGUGUUACAAUGCAAAAUUCACCAAUCCUUCUUCAAACUUUUUUGAGUUUUCCCUUGACAAUGCUGUGAUGAAAAGUCCAAGAAAGCCCAAUGAAAAGGAACAGAAAUGCUCACCCUUCUCUCAACUCUCAACUGCUGGUCCCCACCCAAAAUCUAUGCCCAUACUUUCCAAGCAAUAUCCUUAAUUAGUCUGGUAGGCGAAGAAGACUGGGCUCCAAAAGGAUGCUGUGAGAUAUCUGGAAGAUCACCCAUGACAUUUUCAACGUACUGUGCGGUUGAAGGCCGAAAGAUAAACACAAAGCAAGAAAGCAUGGACAUGAGAAACUUGGAAUAGGAGAAAUGGAAAGCAGCAUGUGCCUUAGCAGUGCAAUUUUGUCUCUGUGUUUGUCAUGUAUGUGGUUGGGAGUAGUGCCUUCCAUUUCUAGUGCACAGACAGACACCAUCAAACCUGGGGAAGAGCUUCAAUUCUCGGAAAAAUUACUGGUUUCUGCAAAAGGGACUUUUACUCUAGGCUUCUUCAGCCUGGAAUCUGGCAGUUAUUUAGGAAUAUGGUACACAACUGAUGAUUAUCACAAGAAAGUUUGGGUUGCUAACAGAGACAAGGCUAUAUCCGGCACCGAUGCAAAUCUCACGCUGGAUGCCGAUGGCAAAUUGAUGAUCACGCAUAGUGGGGGUGAUCCAAUUGUCCUGAAUUCCAAUCAAGCAGCCAGAAACUCAACAGCUACUCUGCUUGAUUCUGGAAAUUUUGUUUUGGAAGAGUUCAAUUCGGAUGGAUCUCUGAAGGAGAAACUAUGGGCGAGUUUCGAUAAUCCUACAGACACCCUCCUGCCUGGGAUGAAACUAGGCAUCAACUUGAAAACCGGGCGAAACUGGUCACUUGCUUCAUGGAUAAGCGAACAAGUGCCUGCUCCUGGGACUUUUACUCUGGAAUGGAAUGGCACACAAUUGGUGAUGAAACGCCGAGGGGGCACCUACUGGAGCAGUGGAACCUUGAAAGAUAGGAGCUUUGAGUUCAUUCCUUGGUUGAUGAGCUCUGACACUUUCAAUAACAUCUACAGUUUUAACAGUGUUUCGAAUGCAAACGAGAUUUACUUUAGCUAUUCAGUUCCAGAAGGAGUUGUUUCAGACUGGGUAUUGACCUCGGAAGGGGGACUUUUUGACACUAGUAGACCCGUAUUUGUGCUGGACGAUCAGUGCGCUAGGUAUGAAGAAUAUCCAGGGUGUGCAGUGCAAAACCCACCCACUUGCAGGUCUAGAAAAGACGGAUUCAUGAAGCAAUCGGUUCUCAUAUCAGGAUCACCAUCAUCAAUAAAAGAAAAAUCGAGCUUGGGCCUUAGGGAUUGUAAGGCUUUAUGCUGGAAUGAUUGUUCUUGUACUGCUUAUAAUAGUUUAUACACUAACGGAACUGGAUGUCGGUUUUGGAGUACAAAAUUUGCACAAGCCCUCAAGGAUGACGCAAAUCAGGAGGAGCUCUAUGUUUUAUCCUCAUCACGAGUUACGGGUAAGAGUCUCUCUAUAUUUUUGCAUUCCUGAAAGUAACCAAAGCAAAGUAGUUGAUGAAUCCAACAUUUUUAUUGAAUUUACAACCCUAAUAGGUGAUCAAAAAUUCAAAAUACCAUUAGAGGAGCUAUAUCAUGACCAUAAAAGACCCUCCUUCACUCAGUUCUGCUCUAACCACAAAAUUUAUCAACUUCUAUCUAUGCAGGGAGCAGUUGGUGGAUAUGGGUCAUUAUUGCAGGAGUGGUACUUGUGGUCUUGUUGGUACUUGUGGUCUUGUUACUUACGGGCUCCUUAUACUAUUCAAGGAGAAAAUUCAGAGGUAGUAUUUUAUUUGAACUUUUGUUGAUGAUAGUAAUGCCAUUUGUUAAUGGGUUGGAUUGAACUUGUGACUUGUGGUAUAACAGGGGAGAGAGAAAUGGAGGAAGCUGCGCUGCUUGAAUUGACAACUUCAAACAGCUUUAGUGAUUCAAAAGAUGUUGAACAUGAUGGAAAGAGGGGGGCUCAUGAUCUUAAACUGUUCAGUUUUGAUUCUAUUGUGGCUGCCACGAAUAACUUUUCAUCUGAAAAUAAACUUGGAGAGGGUGGUUUUGGCCAGGUUUAUAAAGUAAAUAUUAUUAUUUCAUUAAUCCAUGGCAUGUAAUAGGAAUAGGACAUUCUUUGUUUUAAGUACCCCAAUUAAAGCUUCCUUUUGGAUUGUGGAUUGUGGAUUGUGGAUUAUUUUUGCAGGGGAAAUUACCUGAGGGGCAAGAAAUAGCAGUGAAGAGACUUUCAAGGGGCUCCAGCCAAGGAUUGGUGGAGUUUAAAAAUGAGAUUAGACUGAUCGUCAAACUCCAACACAUGAAUCUUGUUAGACUUCUGGGUUGCUGCAUCAAGGGAGAAGAAAAGAUGUUAAUCUAUGAGUUCAUGCCCAACAAAAGCUUGGACUUCUUCCUCUUUGGUUUGAAUACUUCCCUUUUUUUCUUCCUUUUAUCUGCAUGACUUUUCCUUAUGUUCUUAUCUUUUUUUUUUUGCUUGAAACAAUUUACUAGCUGUGUGUUGUGUUCACCCAAAUUUUCAGAUCCUGCUAGAAGAAAGAUAUUGGACUGGAAAAGACGUCACAAUAUCAUUGAGGGGAUUGCACAAGGACUUCUUUACUUGCAUAAAUAUUCAAGACUAAGAAUUAUUCAUAGAGAUCUAAAAGCAAGUAACAUCCUACUUGAUCAUGACUUGAACCCGAAAAUUUCUGAUUUUGGCAUGGCCAGAACUUUUGGGCGAAAUGCAUCGGAAGCAAAUACAAAUAGGAUAGUUGGAACAUAGUAAGCAUGACUUUUCUUUAUCUAUCAACUUUCUUUUUCAGUCUAAUGUACUAAACCUUCUACUAUGGAUGCAGUGGUUACAUGCCACCCGAGUAUGCCAUGGAAGGAAUUUUCUCGGUGAAAUCAGAUGUUUAUAGCUUUGGGGUCCUACUGUUGGAGAUUGUGAGCGGCCGAAAGAACAAAAGCUUUCAUCAUAACCACGGUGCCUUUGCCAUAAACCUGGCAGUAUACGUGAGUAUGCUAUAUCUCAUAUUUGUCUCUACAUUAUUUUCAACAGCACCCGGUGUAUCCUUCCAAAAUUUUCAUACUAACCUCAUAAGUAAAUCAACCCUAAAUGAACUGGAAACAGGCUUGGGAUCUAUGGAAAGAAGGUACUAGCUUGGAGCUAGUGGAUCCAAUGCUGGAGGAUUCCUACUCAACAACCCAAAUGUUGAGAUGCAUUCAUAUUGCUCUCUUGUGCGUACAGGAGAGCGCAGCAGAUAGGCCUACAAUGUCAGCUGUUAUCUCCAUGCUCACCAACGAAACUGUGCCCCUACCAAACCCAAAUCUACCCGCAUUUUCCACUCAUCAUAAAGUGUCAGAGCUAGAUUCACACAAAGGCAGGCCAGAGAGUUGUUCUGGAUAUGUAACUAUUUCAGAGACGGAAGGUCGGUAAAGAAGAGAAUUUCAAGGGGUGACAGGAAACCUAGAGACCAGAAGUUGUUGUCCUAACCUAUCAGCAAUUUGUCUAGAUUGAUUUGUAUUGCCACCAUAGAUUUAUUAGAUAUAGAGUCAACUAGGUUUCCCUCAAGGUAAUCUUUUUCAAAGCACAACAGAAGCUGAUUUGGUAUCAUUUGAAACAUAGUUUGAACCUAUAGCCUGCAGCUCUAUUUGCCUUUUUUUCUAGGAAAUUUAUCUAACCAUACACUAAAUACCAAAAUUUUGCCUUUUAGAAACUUUGUUUUUUACUUUUGAAAUUUAGUGGAUUUUGGGGAAAAUAAAUGUUUUUCCAUACACUGUAAUAAUAAUGUUGAGACCCUUCCAAAAAUGCCCACUUUGACAGCUCUCCUAGUUGGAUCACCCACUUGGAAAAGUCACGUAAGCAAGGUCCAAGUCAGCCACCUACUAAAGCUGAUGACAAGGCUCAUGUACAUGUCAUCAUCAAACUAGACACUUCACAUGAAUUGAUUUUUUAAAACAUAUUUACCCCCAAAUGUCUUCUUCUCUCUUCAACCAAACCCUAACACCAAAAACCCAUGUUCUUUCUUCUUCGGUCACAAGCACAACCCAUCACAAGGCGGAAUGAUCCAUAAAAAAUCCGGUAGCUUCUCAAUUUGUCAUAACCCAUCAACCCCAAACGAACCUCCAAACAUGAUCCCUUAUUUUAUUUCUCCUCCAUCACCAUAAGAAAGACGACAUCAUCAUUUUCCCACCAAACAUCAAUUCGAAAACAAAAGUCCAAGUGUGAAACCCCUAACAAAGCCUAGGUAGACAAAUAACCUCUUUCCUUCUUCUCAUUUCAACAUCGACAAAGUCAUUUCUUCCCUGCCUAUACUUCCUCUUUUGCUUUUACGUUGAAAAAGAGAAAGAAAGCAAUUGAGAGAAAGAGGGAACAAAGCAAUGAAAUAUUGUAGUUGCAUUUAACUUAUAAAGUAAGGGUUUUUCCAGAUAAUAUAUGUAUUUUAUUAAAUUUUAUAAUAACUAUUUAUUUUGAUUUGUCAUUUUGAUUCUUUGAGAUUUGAAUAUUGUUAUAGUUAUGUGAUUUUUGGAAUGUUGUGAUUUAAACUUGAUUACAUUGCAUAUUUGUACAUGUUGAAUGUUCAUUAAUAUUAUUCAAUUUUAUAUUUUAAUUUAUUUAGGGUUUAUUUGAAAUGAAAUAUGGUUUAAAAUUUGAUAAAUGAUAAGAAAAUGAAAUGGUGGUAAACUAUAUUGAUUUUGUUUUAUUUUCUGAAUUGUUGUGUUUGUGUUGUAUAUGGUUGUUGGGAAGAAUAUAGAAAAGAGAAGAAAAAUAUGACUAUUGAAUGAGAAGGGAAUACAAUUUUUAUAUGGGAUUCAAGAUGUUUUGUUGUUUAAUGUUGUUUAUAUGGGAUUCUAAAAUGAGUAGGUUGAGUUUUUUUAUAUAGUUGUUAAUUGGUGAAUUUAAUGCAUAGGAAAAGAAUUCAUGUUUAGUCAUGAGUAGAUGAGUACGAAUUUUAAAAAUGAUUGGGAGUAAAGUUUGAAUAAAUUUCUUCAUAAAAGUUUUGAAUUUGUAAUGAAUGAGGGUUGAAUUGAAAAAGAAAAUAAAACAAAUGUAGUAAAGCAGACAUGAAUUUAUGUUGGAAUUAGGGAAAAUAGUAGUGGAGCCUUAGGUGGAAAUCUGAUGCUCACAACCACAAAUAUGAAAUUUGUUUUGUUUAUAUGUGUGUAAUGGUCAUAAUAGGGGUCUACCCUUGGAUGAAGGUGUUGAUCGUAAUUCAGGUAAUGACAUUUGGAUGAAAUAAUUGUUUUUGUAAGAGGUUGCAGUAAGUAAUUAGAGGUUAACCCAUUUGUUUGGAGGUAGGCCCUUAGUUGUAAACAUUGUUGUGGUCUAAUCUAGGGAGUAGACAAAAUAAAGAAAGACCUAUUGUUUCAGGGGUUGGCCCGAAGACAGGGCCAUUAGCACAAUUUAGCUUGAAAAGUUACAAAAACAAUGGUUGGGCCAUGAAUUGAGAGGUUCACUUCCCAACUUAUAUAACAUAACAAAUUACUACCAAAUAAAAUAGAAUAAUUGCAUUGUUUAAUGUUAAGUAUACUCUAUGCAAGUCCAUAUUUACAACAUUAAUUGAAGACCAUGAAAUGUAAAUGAAGCUCACUUGUAAAGUUCCAAAGAUAAAUGAUGUAUGAAUAUAUGAUGGUCAUAAGCAUGAUAAUCAGUUUUGUUAUAAGUAAUUUGGUUUAGGCAGUGUUAUUAAAAAAUUAGUUAAUUGUUUCAACUUGACUAAAGGUUCAUGUUUCUAAACAGGGGCUACACAUGAUCGAGUAUCAUUUAAAUGGAUCCAAGUAAUACAAUUUACUAUUAUCUGUAGAUUGGAAGAGAGCUAGUAAGGGGUGAACAUGGCAGUGUGGAAUAUAUGGGUGGGAGACGAGAGAGUAUAAUGUUAGAACGAUCAAUGACAUAUAAUGAUUCAAGGAUUUGUGGGAAAAUGAGCAUCGAUAUAGUGGGACCAACAUUUUCGUACACUCUCCCAUUUGAUCUAUAUGCACUUCAACCAUUGAAAAAUGAUGAAGACUUGACAAACAUGUUUCAGUUUAGUGACCAAUCCACACGUGUAUAUAUGUUUAGCAUCAACAGUUGAAGGUGAUGAAACAGUUGAGAAUGGAGGACAAAGGUAAGUUAUAUCAAAAGAAUAUCUAAUCUUAAAUGAUUUCGUGUAUUUAUUUAUUUAUUAAUAUUUAUGCUUAUUCAUUAGAUGAUAAGUUGAUAAAUAAACAUAUUUAUAAUGCAGAUUGAACGAAACAAUGGUAGGGUCAAACUCACUGGUCCCAUAUUCAAUAAGGGAUGUUGAUAUUAAUUAGAAUGCAAUCACGAGGGUUUCAUCAAAGAUGUGUUGAAUCACAUGUGGGUACACUAGAGUCGAGUCAUUUUGAGAGUGCAAUAUUGGGUAGUGGGCAUACCUUCUCAAUUGCAAAUGACUUUUGAGAUGCAAUAUAUCUCAUGUCAAUAGGAAACCAUUUUAGAUAUAAGUUUAGGAGGAAUUGUCUUAAGCAUAUGACUGUAAUAUGUGUUGUUGAAGGAUGCCCUUGGAAAGUAACUACUCGUGUUGUUGGGAGAACAAAAAUAGUUCAGGUGCAUACAUUUAUAAGUGAACAUAACCACUCUUUAGAAGAUGUGUCAGUUUUUGAACCAAUAGUUCGUUGUAAUCGAGACACAACUAUGAUUGAUGAUGUUAUUCAUUCAAAUCCAAAUUACUUGUCUCAUCAAAUAUGUAAAGACUUUCAUCGACAAUACAGAAUGCAAUUGAAUUAUUGUCAAGCAUGGAACUUGAAAGAGAAGGCUAAAGAACGAAUCAAUGGCGUGCCCCAAUGCUCAUAUAAGUUGUUGCCUUGAUUGUGUACAAGGCUUAUUGAAACAAAUCCAGGGACGAUUUUUUAAUAUAGAUGUUCGGGUGAUGGUCAUUUCAUCCAAUUGUUUGUUGCCCUUUCAAUGUCAAUACAUGGGUUUAAAACAGGGUGUCGGCCUAUUAUAUCAACAGAUUCAUCCCACAUGAGUGAGCCAUACAAGGGUGCUUUAUUUUUAGCUUCUUUGUAUGAUGCUAAUAAUGUCAUGUUUCCACUUGCUUAUUGCUUAUUUAGCUCCAAGAAUUACAAGGAUUGGCUUUGGUUCUUAGAAAAAUUGAAGAUGGUCAUAGGUAAAAGAGAGGUUAUAAUAAUAUCUAAUAGGGACCAAGGAAUUAUCAGUAGUGUUUCAGAGGUAUUCGACAAUGAAAAUCUUGCACAUUGCUAUCAUCACAUUAAAGAAAACUUAAGUAGCUUACUAACAAAGUUGAACAUUAAAUGGAGGAAAAUAAAGGAAAAUGUUUUGCAAAUGCUCGAUUCUAUCGCCUAUGCUAGGUUAGAUUGUGAUUAUUAGGUUACAAUGGAUACUUUAAGGACAUUUAAUCAUGAUUCGGCAAAGUGGGUUGAAAAAAAUAACCCUCAACAUUGGGCAAUCUCUAAAUUUAAGAAGAUGCAUUGGGAUAAGAUGACAAACAAUCUAGCUGAGUCUUUCAAUUCUUAGUUAAGACAUGAAUGACACCAUAACAUUUGUGUUUUCUUCAUUGAGCAUAUGGAUAAGUUAGGAUCUCUUUUAGUCAAGCACAAAAAUGGACUUGUAAAAUGGAAUGGGUACAUUAGUCCUAAAACAUAAGAAAAUAUUGCAUUGAACAUUGCAAAAGGUGAAAAUUAUAUCACUUAUUUACACUUGGGUAGUUCGAUGAAAGUAUCCAAUGGAAAAGCAUUCUUAGAAGUGGACUUAAUGGAGCGAACUUUCACAUACAAAGCAUGGCAAAUGUCUGGAAUUCCAUGUGAUCACACCUGUGCAGCUAUACGGCGAAUGGGUUUGAUGUAUCUGAUUAUGUUGAUGACUAGUAUAGGUACAAUUUGCAAGAUAAUAUAUACUUUGGAAGCAUGCGUACUUUAGUAAUGCAUAAGAUGCCAAUGAUUGAUGAAGAUGGAACCGUUCGUGAUGCCUUGGGUCAUACUUAUCCCUUUCUUAAUCUUCAAACCACAAAGCAACCUCCUAGAAAACCUAAGAAACAUCAAAUCGAGUCUCAAUUCAUGUAAAAAGAAAAAAAAAACGGUUCAUUGUUCUCGUUGUAAUGAGCUUGGGCAUAAUCGUGCGACAUGCACCAACCCAUUGUCAUAACUAUUUAAUUAAACUUCAUAAUGUAACAUCGACUUUAUAUUAGUGUGUAAUAAUUUGGUAAUCUUCGUUGUUGUUUCUCAUAUUAUAAGCAAUGACUAAUUUAUUGGAUUUGUAGUGUUCGGUGUACACAUAUUGUGAUUGUAUGUUGUUCUUCAAUAUUAUGGGAUCUGUUACAUGAUAAUAUAAUUGUAAUAACAAAAUGUGUACCUUGGUGAUGAUUGUUCGAAGAUGCCAUUAAAGUCACAUAGAUUCACAUGGUGUUCUUGGCAAAAAAACAGAUUGUUAACUAGUGGGCAUAAUCGUGGUCAACCUUUUUUCACAUGUAUGGGUUGUCGCUUUUUGGUUGAUGACCCUUAAUCAUAUUAUUUAGUUUUGUGUGAAGUGGUCAGUAGCCAACCCUUAGAUCAUAGGCAGUCCUAUCAUUUUUCUUAUUUAAAAUUGGCUUUGUGUUAUGUGAGGAGUCGGUAAAAAGGAGGUUGACUCAUUGACACCAUGGGAAGGCAUUCGAACGUUUACACUAUACACUUAGAAUUAAUGGACUUUUAUACCAUAACAUUAGUUUGGUAUGUUAUGUGCAGAAGUCAAUCUAGGGGCGCACCCUCCAUUUCAGAGGCAUGCCUAUAUGUGAAUGACAUUAUAUUACCCUACUAUAUGCAGAAGGCAAAGUAGGGGUGCACCCUUUGUUGCAUAGGCAUGGGUAUGAUAACAUUAUUUUGGUAUGUUAUAUGCAGUACACAAACUAGAAGCACACCCUUGAAUUUAGAGGCAUGCCUAUUAGUGAAACCAUUAUAUUGGUAGGCUAUGUGCAGUAGUCAACCUAAUGGCACAACCUUCAUGGAAGACGCAUGAAUGUGGGUGAAAAACUUGAUUUUGUUAAGCUAUGUGCAGUAGGAAAAAGAUAGGAUGACUCUCUAUCGAAGGCAUGCCUUCAAGAUGACUAGAUUUGAGGUGUGGGUUGGACAAUAAGGCAAAUGGAGGCUUGUCGAUAGCUUGAAAGGUUGGCCCUUGACAUUCAUAUGAAAUCAACAACCACUAAAGGAAUAAAUGAACAAAAGUUAUGCAUUAUCAAAUGUUUGGUAGAGACCAUAUGUUCUAAUGUUUAGCACAAUAAUGUCAUACCAUCUAGUGUUAAUGAAGUUUAGUUGUAUUUUUUAAAAUCUAAAUAAGGCAUUAAUAAUAAUGACAAUAGGUGUGAAUGUGACAAUUGUUAUAGUUAAUUAAUUUUGGCAAGGUUAGUUACAAACACUGUUGUAAGCAAUUAAAUACCUAAUGGGGUCCAAAAAGGGGAUUAAAAUAAUUUAUGCUUAUUUUAUAAAUGAUGUAAGUCUUUUUGUAAGGAAUAUACGUAUUAUUGCACAUAUUAACGUACACACACACACACACAUAUAGAUGUAUUAAAGUAAGAGGGCAUGAGGUCUCGGAUUGAUGUUAAAAAAAUGUACAAUACUUUAUUAAAGUUAAUAAAGAACGGAUUGAUCUUAAAGAUAUAUUAAACAUUGUGAUGAUGUUACGAGGGUUUGAAACUCCGUUAAAUGGUGGUGAAUGACUUCCCAUCAGUUCUUAUGGGUUCUCGGUAGCAUGAGGCCUUGAAAUACCAAAUUUUCUUACAAAUGUACCAAAUUUUAUAAAAUAAAAUAAAAAAUGUACCAAAAGUUGUAAAUGAUGUAGCAAAAUUUGUCAAGGAUGUAUCAAGGGUUUAAAAGUUUGUUCAAGAGUAGUGAACAACCUUUCAUUAAUUAACACAGAUCCCUAAAUGAAAUAAUGGACCAUAGGUGAUAAGAUGGGUGUUUCAGUGGCAAUAAGAUUAGAUGUACCAAAUUUUAUAAGGGGUCUCGACAAUAAUAGGAACAGAUGUACCAAAUUUUAUGAAGAAUGUAUCAAAUUUUGUGAAUGAUGUACCAAGGGUUCCAACGUGCGUUCAGAUGUGGGGAUCAACCCCCAAGCACUUUCUUAUGGGUUCUCAAAUGAAAUUAUGGACCCUAGGUGAUAAGAUGGGGGUCCCAUAAGCAAUAGGAUGAGAUAUACCAAAUUUUAUAAAGGAUGUACCAAAUUUUGUGAAGAAUGUACAAAGGGUUCCAAAGUGCACUCAGAGGUGGGGAUCGACCCCUAAUCACAUCCUUAUGGAUUCCCAAAUGAAAUUAUGAACCAUCUAUGUCCAAAUAGGGGUCUUGAAAGCAAUAGGAUUGGAUGUACCAAAUUUUGUAAAGCAUGUACUAGAUUUUGUAAAAGAUGUACCAAGGGUUCCAAAGUGCAUUUCGAGGUGGGGAUCGACCACCAAUCACUUCUUUAUGGGUUCCCAAAUGAAAUUAUGGACCCUAUGUGAUAAGAUGGGGGUCCCGAAAGAAAUAGGAUGAGAUGUACCAAAUUUUACAAAGGAUGCACCAAAUUUUGUAAAAAAAUGUACCAAAUUUUGUGAAGAAUGUACAAAGGGUUUCAAAGUGCAUUCUGAGGAGGGGAUCAACCCCCAAUCAUUUUCUUAUGGGUUCCAAAAUGAAAUUAUGGACCAUAAGUUAUAAGAUGGGGGUCCCGACAACAAUAGGAUCGGAUGUACUAAAUUUUGUGAAGGAUGUACCAAAUUUUCCAAAGCAUGUUUUGAGGUGGGGAUCGGCCACGAAUUACUUCCUUAUGGGUUCCUAAAUGAAAUUAUGGAACCUAGGUGAUAAGAUGGGGGUCUCGAAAGCAAUAGAAUGGGAUGUACCAAAUUUUACAAAAGAUGUACCAAAUUUUAUGAAGGAUGUACCAAAGAUUCCAAGGUGCGUUCUUAGGUGGGGAUUGACCCCCAAUCACUUUCUUAUGGGUUCCAAAAUGAAAUUAUGGACCAUACGUGAUAAGAUGGGGGUCCCAACAACAAUAAGAUUGGAUGUACCUUAGAUUUUUUUAAACGUGUUCCUUAGUAACUUGAUGAAAGUUACGAACAUUUUUUUAACGUUAAUCCAAGACCUCAUGGCCUCUUACUUUAAUCUAUCUAUCCUUAUGAAAAAUUGACAUACAUCUAUUGUUUUACACACACACACAUAUAUUCCUUACAAAAGGACGUACUUCAUUUAUAAAAUAAGCAUAAAUUAUUUUAAUCCCUUAUGUCGACCUCGUUAGGUAUUUAAUUGCUUACAUAAAUAUUUGUAACUAACCCUACCAAAACUAAUUAACCUAUAACAAUAGUCUUAUUCACACCUAUAGCCAUCAGAUAUUAAUGCCUCGUGUAAAUUAUGAACAAUUCAACUCAACUUCAAUAACACUUGAUGCUAUGACAUUAAUGUGCUAAACAUUGGAACAUAUGGUCUCUACCAAACAUCAGAUAAUGCAUUACUUUUAUUUAUGUAUACGGUGGCCACUUAUUUGAUAUGAACAUAUGCGAACAUUUCUAGCUUUGGGCAUGCCUCCAUUUGUCUUACUGCCCAACCCACAUAUCAAAUCUAAUCACUUUAAAGGCAUGUCAUAGACAGAAGAGGCAUGCCUAUCUUUUCUACUACACAUAGCAUAACAAAUUUAAGUUUUCACCCACAUUCAUGCAUCUUGCAUGAAGAGUGCACCCCUGGUUUGACUAUUGCACAUAGUCUACCAAUAUAAUGCCUUCACUAAUAGGCAUACCUCUUAAAUAAAUGGUGCACCCCUAGUUUGCAUGUUGUAUAUAGCAUACUAAAAUAAUGUUAUCAUACCCAUGGCAUGCCUUUGCAACAAAGGGUGUGCCCCUAGUUUGCCUUCUGCAUAUAGCAUACCAGUAUAAUGCCUUCGCACAUAGGCAUGCCUCUGAAAUGAAGGGUGUGCCCUUAUAUUGACUUCUAAAUAUACCAUACUAAACUAAUGUUAUUAUUAUUUUUAAAACAAAUUCCAUUGCUUCUAAGGGUACAAUGUCCACGUUCGAACGCCUUCCUAUUAAACAAUGGGUCAACCUUCCUUUUACCAACUGCCCACAUAACACAAAACCAAUUUUAAAUAAGAAAAACAAUGAGACUACUUAUGAACUAAAGGGUCGGCCCUUAAUUUUGCUAUUGACCACUUCAAACAAAACUAAUAAUAUGAUCAAGGGUUAUCAACCAAAAAAUGGAAACCCCUGCAUGUAUAGGUCAACCACUAUUAUGCCCACUGGUUAACAAUCUGUUUUUUUUUUUUUUUUUUUUUAUGAGAAACUCUUAGGUGAAGUUUUUUGCUUGAUUCCAACUAUUGUGCUAGUGCAUUUGCUUUAUAAAGAUCCUAAGUGUAGCAACCAGUGCUUUGUUGGUCACUUAUUUUAAGCUUUUCAAUUAGCUUACUCUUUUCCUUGAUAGUAGCCUUAUCGGUUUCAUGGACAUAGUUUGCCUCCACCUUUGCAGCUCAUUUACUUAAAAGCAUCCUAACAAUGAAACUCUUGUUGAAUCCUUCAACAUCAAUGGUUGUGAUAAUGGGCACUUGUAUAGAAAGGAAUCCAUUGUUUUGGAAGAAGGUGUGAGUUGCAUGAGUAAGUGCAUUCACAUAAUGAAUGCCACCUACAAGUUUUAAAGUAAAAAUUAAAACAAAAUGACCUAAUUAAUUUGUAGUCAAUGCAUUUAUCAUGGAUUUAGAUAAGAAGCUGCAUGGAACAAGAAGAUUAAUUACAGUCGUUGCUUAUGGCUAUGUCAUUGGCAGUUGAGAAGGUAUGCCCACUACCCAAUAUUGCACUCUCAAAAUGACUCGACUCUAGUGGACCAACAUAUGAUUCAACACAUCUUUGAUAAAAUUCUUGUGAUUGCAAUCUAAUAUCAUCAUCCUUUGUUAAAUAUGAGACUAUUGAGUUAGACCCAACAAUUGUUUCGUUCAAUUUGCAUUAUAAAUAUGUUUAUUUAUCAACUUAUCAUAUAAUGAAUGAACUUUUUUUUCCUCAAUGAUUUUCAAUUCUAAAGAGCUUCCAUUUUUAUUAUAUAAAAAAAAUUACUAAUUUAAAAUUUUUCUAAAAAUGAUCCAUUUCCAUAUUGAAAACAGUUUUUCGAUCAGGUUUCCCAAUCCCCUAACCAAACAUUUUUUCAGUGUCAUUUCCAUUUAUUUUCUUAAACAACCCUUUGCCAAACAGCCCUAUAAUUUUGGGUCCUAUAAGCCCAAAGCCCUACAAAUCAAAACCCACCAAGGUCACACUCUCCAAUACAAUUCCUCUUUUCACCAAGUGAAAAAUCAACCCAAUUCAAUACCCACCAUCUAGAUCAACCCAAUUAACACUUCAAAAACAUUAAAAAAAUCAAGCUAAACCCAAAAAACAAAACCCAAAAAAAUGCUCAUUAAUCACACCACAACCCAAACGAUCAAAUAAAACCCUCAUCAAAUCCUACACUAACUUUGCACCAAGAAAACAAAACCACACGAAACACAAAACCCUAGUACAAGAUCAACUAAUCCAAUCAAAUUCACAUCCAACAGUUCACAAACAUGGCCAAAAACUGAAAUUCACAAGCCAAAUAAUUGCGAGUCGAACCUGAAAAUCAAGAAUUGUACUUGUAACUUGACUUGUCUAAAAAUCCCAACUCCGAAGCCACCCAAGGUGCGCGGGAUAAGCAAAAUGGGUUCACAAGAUUACGGAGGUAGACCCCCUUUAGAUUGUUUAGGGUUUUGAUGGAUUGUGGCUAUGAACAAAGGAGAAAGAGUAUGGGUUUUUGGAGUUAGGGUUUGGUUUAAAAGAAAAGAAGGCAUUUGGGGGUAAAUCUCACUAUCCAUUUUGUUAUUUUUUGGCAAAUAUUUUAAAAAAAAAUCAUUCCACGUGGAUUUCUAGUUGGAUGGUGGCAUAGACAUGAGUCAUAUCAUUAGCUUAAGUGGGCAACUGACUUGGACCGUGCUCACAUGUCUUUUCCAAAUAGUUGAUCUAAUUGGAAGAGGUGUUAAAGUGUAGGAAGACAUUCUUGGAAGGAUCUCAGCAUCAUUAUUACAGCGCAUGGAAAAGUAUUUAUUUUCCCCAAAACCCACUAACCUUCAAAAGUAAAAAGUAAAAUUCUCAAAAAGCAAAUUUUUGCCCCUUGAUGUAUGGUUACAUAAAUUUCCUUUUAUUUCCUCCAUAACAUAUUAUAAUAGAUUGUACAUGUUUAUCUUAGCCAUGGUAGGCCAUUUAUGUUCAAUUAUUCAUUCUCAUUAUUUGGAAGGCAUAGGAUGGACUAUGCCAUAUGUUGGCAUCAAACAGAUGAUCAAAAAUAUGUUAUAUGCCAUACGUAGAGAAAAACACUCCAGACGACCAAAGUAGAAAGUGGAGAUAGUUUAUGACUGAUCCUCGCUCAAUUUGCACAUAACACCACCAGUUAACCAAACUUCAUCCUCCAUGCUUCAAGUAAUCCAUAACCAAGUUCUUCUCAGGAGACAUAGGUCUUCAAAUCUGAUGAUGGGAAAUAUCCACCUCCUCCUAAAGUGCAAGAUUUUACCAUGGUUUUAAAAACCAAAUCGGACUAGUCGGUCACGGUUCCAGUCCGGUCCAAUCAAUUGGGUCGAAAAGUGGUCGGACCAGAAUUGGACCAGUUAAACCAGUGGUCCGAUCGGGAACUGUCUGGUUCAAUUUUUUUUUCCACUGUCGUCGAUUCCCGUCGACGGGACCCCCACCCUCCUUGCAAAGCCAGUGUUGGAAAAGUUCUUAUUGCCAACUUGAACCACCCCCCCUCCCCCCCACCCCUUUCUUCCCCGUUGGAACCCUUUUUUACUUGUCGAAAUCCCUCCCACCCGGCACUAGAAACCCUACCCCCCAAAACCCUAUUGGAACCAUUUUUUGCCCACUCCUCUUAUCUCUUUUUCUAGAUUUUUUUUCUACCUCAUCUCACUGUUAUUAUAUAUAUAUAUAUAUAUAUUAUUUCAUGAUGUUUAAAACUUAUUGUUUUAAUUUUAAUUAAUGAAAACAUUACAAUUUUAAAUAAAUUCUUGAUUUUAAAAUAAGUUUUUCAUUUAAAAAUGAAUUUUAAACUUUUAAAAUUAAAAUUAAAAUUAUGAUUUUAAUUUAAAUUUCUAAUUUGAAACUAAUUUUCUGAUUUUCAAAUAAAAAUUUAAUUUUUAAAUAAUAUAUAUUAUUAUUUUUAUUUUUAUAAUUAUUUUAAAUUUUAAUAAUUUAUAAAUUAUAUAUUUAUGAAAUCACCGGUUCGAUCGUAGUUUGACCGCUGGUCUGAUCAAUGAACCUUAAACCAAUAACUUUUCCAGUUCAAUUACAGGUUCAGUUCUAAAAACAUUCAAUUUUACUGAGAAUCAUCCCUUUCUGGAGGCCGUCUCCACCACCUCAUCUAUGCCGACAUAGAAAUUCAAAUCAUGAAAAGUUGAAAGCCCCAUGAUAUGGGUUCCAACAUCCUCCCCCUAUAAAACUUGCACCCAUCCAUAAAAGCUUAUAUAUUCAAGCGGCACCUAUCUCCACAUCACCAUGAUGCUAAUGUUUACUCUUUUGCCCAUUUCCAGCCAAAAAGGAGAUAACCUAUAUAAGGAACCCCUCAUCAGCCACUCCUUAUGCUCUUCCAUAGCCCUCUCCCCGCAUGGUUUGAAGUAUUAGGCCAAGACUAGCCCCACUCAACCAAUUCUUAUUUGCCUUAACCAUGGUCAUGAUCAAUCCAAGAUCAAAUUUGAGAAUUCUACAAUUGAUAAUGACUAGGUUUCAAGUCCAAUAACAACUACUUAAUUCAGCCAACUCCAACUCCAACUCACUACUCUACUACUCAAAUUCAAUUAAUUACAAUUAUAAUGAAUGCCUAAAGAUGCCUUUAUUAGUGGUCCCAACAAUGUGUGUGUGCACCAUGUGCCCAGGAGGGGCAAAUGCCCCCCUGAAAUUUAGGAAUAUAUAUAUAUAUAUAUGUGUGUGUGUGUGUGUGUGGACCCCGCAUUUCGGCUCAUGUGUUUUCCACUCGAUGGCGAGCUCGAUUUUUAUUUAAAAAUGAUUUUAUUUAUUUAAAAAAAUGACUUGGAGUCGCCACUUAUUUUUGUUUUAUUUUUAAAAGGGUAAACAAAAUAAGAAAGAAAACACUAAGUGUGACUCCUUAUUUUGGAAAAGGUGGUCUGUGAAAAACCGGAUCGAGCUCGGGGGUCUGGUUACUUGUUGGGAAGGUACGGUAAAGACCGUAGCACCCCUCUAAGUCCCUAAAGUCGGGUCUCUACUAAUAAAAUGAAGCUGACGUGGCGAUCAAUAGGAAAAUCAACGGAUACUCAAAUCGACCAUGCACACAUGGGAAUCAAAACAUGCAUAGAGAAUGACCAGAAUAGAAAGGGAUGCAUACCUGGGCCACGAACGAGCAAUGUGUUAUCAUAAAAAUGGAGUCAGUGUAUAAUAAAGAGCACAAAACAUAUUACAUGCGUCACCAAAUAGAAAUUAAAAAACUGUUGAGGGAAAACUGGAUUUUUGAAAUUUAUUUGAAAUUUGGAGUUUUAGAGAUUAUUUGAAAAUUGGAUUUUUAGAAAUUAAAUAUAAGAAUAAGAAUUUUAGAAAUUAAAUUUGAAAGGAAUUGGAAUUUCAGAGAACUAAAUUUGAGAAUUGGAAUUAUGAAAAAUUAUUUAAAGACGGAAUUUUAAUAAACAAAUAAGUGGAUAAAUGAAUGAAUGGAAUAAUAAUAAUGAUGAAAUAAUAAAGAUUAGGUAAAUAAUUGUGAAAAAUAGAAUUUUAGAUAUUAGAGAUUGAAUUUAGAAAUUGAAAUUUUGAUAAAUUAUUUGGAGAUGAGAUUUUAAAUAUAUGAAUAAGUAAAUAAAUAAAUGAACGGGAUAAUAAUAAUAACGAAAAUAAUCAUUAAACAGCUGAAUGUGAAUAGUGGAAUUUUUUAGAUUGAAAAUUAAAUUUGGAAAAUAGAAUUUUGAAAAAUUGAACUUUAAUUAUUGAAAAUUUUAAAAUAAAUGAAUGGAAUAAUAAUAAUAAUAAUGAGAAUAAUAUUUAAACGAAUGAACGUGAAUAGUGGAAUCUUUGAGAUUGAAAAUUAAAUUCGGAAGUCAAAUUUUUCAAGAAUUGAACUUUAAUGAUUUGAAUUUUUAAAAUAAAUAAAUAAAUAAAUAUGGAAUGAUAAUAAUAAUAACAAAAAUAAUGUUUAAACGAAUGAAAGUGAAUAGUGGAAUUUUUUAGAUUGAAAAUUAAAUUCGGAAGUAAGAUUUUUGAAUAAUUAAACUUUAAUGAUUGAAAAUUUUAAAAUAAAUAAAUAUGGAAUAAUAAUAAUACUAACAAAAAUAAUGUUUAAACGAAUAAACGUGAAUAGUGGAAUUUUUUAGAUUGAAAAUUAAAUUCGGAAGUCAGAUUUUUUAAUAAUUGGACCUUAAUUAUUUGAAUUUUUAAAAGAAAUAAAUAAAUAAAUAUGGAAUGAUAAUAAUAAUAACAAAAAUAAUGUUUAAACGAAUGAACGUGAAUAGUAGAAUUUUUUAGAUUGAAAACUAAAUUCGGAAGUCAGAUUUUUGAAAAAUUGAACCUUAAUGAUUUGAAUUUUUAAAAGAAAUAAAUAAAUAUGGAAUGAUAAUAAUAAUAACAAAAAUAAUGUUUAAACGAAUGAACGUGAAUAGUGGAAUUUUUUUAGAUUGAAAAUUUGAAGAGUUAUUUAGAGAUGGGAUUUUAAAAAUAAGUAGAUAAAUAAAUAAACGAAAUAAUAAUGAUUAAAUAAAUAGAUGUGAAGAUUAGAAUUUUGGAAAUUAGAAUUUUAGAGAAUUGUUUAAAAAUGAAGGUUUAAAAAAAAAAAAAUUGGAGUUUUGAAAAUUAUUUGAAAAUUUGGAGUUUUAAAAAUUAAAUUUAGAAAUUUAAAUUUUGGGAAUUAAAUUUGAGAGAAAUUGGAGUUUUGAAAAUUAAUUUGAAAAAAAAAUAAAGUUUGGAAAUAAGAGUUUUGAAGAUUAAAUUGAGAAAAUGAAGUUUCGAAAAUUAAUUUUGAAAGAAUUCGGAAUUUUGGAAAUUAAAUUUAAAAAUUAAAAAUUUGGAAGAUUAAAUUUAGACAUCAAAAUGUGAAAGAAUUAGAAAAAAUGUGAGAUUGGUAGUAGGUUGGUAGUGUCGGUGGAGACAAUGGAAAUUAGAACAUGGAGUGCAAGAUAGUUUUUCAUAUGAUGGCUAGCUUUUAUGGGUUAAGAAAAUAAUAAUAGAUAAAUAAAUAAAAAAUAAAUAAAACAAUAAAGAAACACAUUUGACUAAUGAUGAGAACUGGGGAUGGAGGCUCGUAAUGGUGCCCUCAUUAAAUGCUGCUCCCAAAAUCAAAGACAAACUGGAGUUAGCCUUAAUGACAUUUCAUGAGAGAGAAAAGUUUCAUGCUCCCGCUGUGCAGACUCGCCGGUCAUGCUCCCGCUGUGCAGACUCGCCGGCAUCCCCUCAUCGCUGCAUAGCUCCGCCAAGCACUCCGGCAGAGAUCUUCUUGUCCCUCUUCAAAAAUACAUCAACGCGUUUUCCUUCUCCGAGAAUUGUGUUGACCAGCUUCUCCCGUCCAAAAAGGCGAAAAUCCUUGGCUUUGAUGGAAGACGGCGAGAAUGGCACCCGCGAGAUUAUCCAAAAAUGAUGCAUCCAUAUUCCUCAAGGAUGAAUCAAUUAAACACAACUUUCAUCUAGAGAGCUUCCUCCCAAUCCCGGAAAAAAAAAUCUCAUUCCCCUUUUUUUUAUUUUUUUAUUUUUUUAUUUUUCUCCUUGAUUUUCUCAUCUAGAUACUCCUUUCAGACAUCCCCUCCGUAAGACCUCUUCCCUUUCCUUUUUCUUCCAUCUCCAUUUCCUACUGUUUGGUUUGUCCAGGUGGGGUAGAAAAGAAAAGAAUUGGGAAUAUUUGUAGCAUAAAUAGGUAGCGGAAAUCCCAUCUUACAGUCACAUUAACUUGCUUCUCAAUAUUAAAACAUUGAAACCAAUAUUUUAUCUCAUGCACCAGUAUGUGAAAUAUCAGUUCUUGAACAAAUAAUAACAUAACAGAAUCAUGAGAAUACGUAUGGCAAGAGGAAAUAAAACAUGAAAAUUGAUUUCGAAAGCAUAGCAUUCACUAACCUGUUUGCUGUCAACCCCAAAAAUGGCUCCUCAUGGUAUUUUCUGCUGCUUCCCCCUCCUAGAGCCCAGGCACCCGCCGCCCCUCUCUUUUUUCUCUUAUUUUUGUCUUUCUCAGCAAGCUACUACCCGCCUUCCCGUUCACCAGUCAGCAGGCAUGUCGUCUUCAACCACCACCAUGGCCGUCCACGCCCCUUGCCGUGUCCAUGCAGCUGGUCUCCUUCCAGAAAGGGGUCCCCCCUCCUACUUAAAAAAAUGAAAAAAAAUUCCAUCCUUUUUGUCGUCCGUAAAAGAGGGUCUACAAUAUGAUACAUAUCAUUGACUAGAAGGCGUAGAAUGGGACAAAUUCAAGGGUAGGCGGUAAGGGUGGGGUGGAUUCUAUGGAGGCUUUUGCAGAUGUAUGUAAAACUACAAGACCUUAAAACCUGUAUAAUACUGAUCAAAGUAUCGAAGGGAAGCUUGUUUUGUGCCUAAGAAAAAGCAUGGCGUCCUCUCUGUCCUUUCCAGGUAACUCCUUCACCCAGUCAAAACCCUUUAUGCAAUCUAAAAGGUUUCAGUUGAUCAUAUACUGUCAACACAUGCAUGGGAUAUUCAAAUUAUUAUUUAUGCUAUGGUCUAGUUGUCCAUUUUUGGACAGAUAUGUUCAUAUACCGAGAGAAAGAAAGGGAAAUAAAAAUGAAGCCUGUUGAACAUCCUUCAUCCAAUUUUGUUAACUAACUCUUAAUUUAUAAAUUUUCAAUAUGUCCAUUUUCAAUAUUCAUCCAAUUUUUUCCACAAAUAAUUUUAAUUGAAAAUUAAAAAAAAUUAACUAACUCUUAAUUUAUAAAUUUUGUUAUCGAUUUAUUUUUUUACAAUAUUUAGUUUAUUUUAAUUUUUUUUUUCCUUCACCUCCUCGUUUAUCACUUUAUAUUACAAAAUAAAAUAAAUUCUAAUUUCUUUUUGUAGAAAUUUUUUAUUUUUUAAAAUUAUUCAAUAUUUUUCAAUUUUUAUAAAAGAAUUUAUCAUAUUAUAUAAUUGGAUAUUGUAAAAAAUUAAAACUUUUGUAUUGCAUUCGAUUUUUUUUUUUUUCCUUUUUUGGAAUGGGAGUUGACUGGUUGGUAAUCCACAUAACAAGCUUUUUUUUUCUUUAUAUUCACAACCUUAACAUGUGGCAAAAUGUCAUUGGUGGAGGAUUUGAGGUGUGGUACUGAAAAGCAUAUAUGGGUACCAAAGCAUAACCCAAAAAUGAAUAGACACAUUUGGCAGCCAUCGCGGGACUAAAACAAAAAAAUUACCUUACCCAAUAAAAUGGUACAUGUUUAAUAAUUUAUUUCAAUUUGGACCAUAAUUCUCAUUCGUACUAUAUAUUUGGAAUCAUCAAUUGUAGCAGCCUGGCUUCAUCUACAACCUAAACAGACAAUGCCUAAACAUGGUGAUGGUGUUACAAUGCAAAAUUCACCAAUCCUUCUUCAAACUUUUUUGAGUUUUCCCUAGACAAUGCUCUGAUGAAAAGCCCAAGAAAGCCCAAAGGAAAGGAACAGAAAGGCUCACCCUUCUCUCAAGUCUCAUCUGCUGGUCCCCACCCAAAAUAUGGCCCCAAACUGCUUUCCAAACAAAGGCUGAAAAUUCUCCCCUGCCUGCCUGAAAUCAAUCUCAAUAGAGUGGUUGAUAAAAGAAGUGGACAAAGGAGAAGUAUGCCCAUAUACUUUCCAAGCAAUAUCCAUAAUUAGACUGGUAAGAGAAUAAGACUGGACUCCAAUUCAAUUCAAUUCAAUUCACUUAUUUAGUUUUUUCAUAUAAAGAUUAAAUAAUUUAAAAAUAUGGAAAUUUUUUAUUAAUUUUAAUUAUAUUUUAUUUUUUUAUUAUUUUUCAUACUAAAAUCAAAUAUAGAAAAAUCAUUUUUCUUUACAUUUCUUUUGUUUUUUUAGUACUUCCCGAAAAUCAUAGUCUUAAUAUUAUGUGUAUAUUCUUACAUAAAGAGCUAGUUGUUUGAGAUAACUUAUUUUAAAAAAUUUCUAAGAGAUGAAGUCAAUAUCAAAAUUUUAAAGGGAUAAUCUUAUUAUUAUAAAAUUUUUAUUAAAUACGAAUUUACUUCCAUGAAUAAAAAGAAAAAAAAAUUGUGAGAAGUAGCUUAAAUUUCUUUCUAUUAUUUUUGUUUUGUUAAGCUUUUUUAAUUUUAAAGUUACCAAUAAAUACAAUGUGUGAUGUACGCGUGAAAAUAAUAAAUAACUUAAUGUAUUUAGGCCACUUUUAAUAUAUGAAAUUCAAUAAUAGGAAUAGGAAUAGGAAAGUAAGUGUGAUUUAUUAUAUAAUAAGGUUAAAUCGUGCAUUAAUUACAAUUAUAAUGAAUGCCUAAAGAUGCCUUUAUCCCAACAGUGUGUGUGUGUGCAGGGGUGGAGCCACCUUGUGCCCAGAAGGGGCAAAUGCCCCCCUGAAAUUUAGGAAUAUAUAUAUAUUAUAUAUGAUACAUAUCAUUGACUUAAAGGUUACACUGAACAAAAAUAAGAAGUUUAGGAUAUCAAACACUAGCUACCCAUUUGGAAAAAAAAAUGACUGUUUCAAGUCCAUUUGGCAGCCAUUGCAGGACUAAAACAAAAAAAAUUACCUUACCCAAUAAAAUGGUAAUUUAUUUCAAUUUGGACCAUAAUUCUCAUUCCUACUAUAUAUUUAUUUAUAUUUGGAAUCAUCAGUUGUAGCAGCCUUGCUUCAUCUACAACCUAAACAUGGUGGUGGUGUUACAAUGCAAAAUUCACCAAUCCUUCUUCAAACUUUUUUGAGUUUUCCCUUGACAAUGCUGUGAUGAUAAGUCCAAGAAAGCCCAAUGAAAAGGAACAGAAAUGCUCACCCUUCUCUCAACUCUCAACUGCUGGUCCCCACCCAAAAUCUGGCCCUAAGCUCUUUCCAAACAAAGGCUGAAAAUUCUCCCCUGCCUGCCUGAAAUCAAUCUCAAAAGAUUGGUUGAUAAAAGAAGUGGACAAAGGAAAUCUAUGCCCAUACUUUCCAAGCAAUAUCCAUAAUUAGACUGGUAAGCGAAGAAGACUGGACGCCAAAAGGAUGCUGUGAGAUAUCUGGAAGAUCACCCAUGACAUUUUCAACGUACUGUGCAGUUGAAGGCCGAAAGAUAAACACAAAGCAUGAAACUUGGAAUAGCAGAAAUGGAAAGCAGCAUGUGCCUUAGCAGUGCAAUUUUGUCUCUGUGUUUGUCGUGUAUGUGGUUGGGAGUAGUGCCUUACAUUUCUGGUGCACAGACAGACACCAUCAAACCUCGGGAAGAGCUUCAAUUCUCGGAAAAAUUACUGGUUUCUGCAAAAGGGACUUUUACUCUAGGCUUCUUCAGCCUGCAAUCUGGCAGUUAUUUAGGAAUAUGGAACACAACUGAUCAUUCUAACAAGAAAGUUUGGGUUGCUAACAGAGACAAGGCUAUAUCCGGCACCGAUGCAAAUCUCACGCUGGAUGCCGAUGGCAAAUUGAUGAUCACUCAUAGUGAGGGUGAUCCAAUUGUCCUGAAUUCCAAUCAAGUAGCCAGAAACUCAACAGCUACUCUACUUGAUUCUGGAAAUUUUGUUUUGAAAGAGUUCAAUUCGGAUGGAUCUGUGAAGGAGAAACUAUGGGAGAGUUUCGAUAAUCCUACAGACACCCUCCUGCCUGGGAUGAAACUAGGCAUCAACUUGAAAACCGGGCGAAACUGGUCACUUGCUUCAUGGAUAAGCGAACAAGUGCCUGCUCCUGGGACUUUUACUCUGGAAUGGAAUGGCACACAAUUGGUGAUGAAACGCCGAGGGGGCACCUACUGGAGCAGUGGAACCUUGAAAGAUAGGAGCUUUGAGUUCAUUCCUUUGUUGAAUAACAUCUACAGUUUUAACAGUGUUUCGAAUGCAAACGAGAUUUACUUUAGCUAUUCAGUUCCAGAAGGAGUUGGUUCAGACUGGGUAUUGACCUCGGAAGGGGGACUUUUUGACACUAAUAGAUCUGUAUUUA
rnacentral:lncRNA from 1 species